AUCCAACAUCUGUAUGCAAAUCGAAGAGCCAUCAUUGAUCUCUUCUCCAUUACCAUGUCUCUCUCUUUCAAGUUUCAACCAAUAUCCGAUUCAAAUUUGGUUGAAGGCUUGAAGCCAAAAGGAGAGAAGAAGAAGAAUACUUAGUUAGCGGGAUAAAAGACUAUUUGCUUGUUUUUCAGCUCACAAAAAAAAAAAAAUCGGCUUGUUUUUCGGUGAUUGUGUUUUACUUAAAUACUAUUCUAUGGUUUUUUUUAGGACAAAUACUAUUCUACGGUUAGUGCUUAUUCCAGUAUUUAUAAUGCAUGAUUGUUUAAAUUAAUUGUUUAUUUUAAAUUUGUGAAUCCUACAAUACAAUGCUACAUAAAUUUAAAAAUUUUACACAAAAAUUUACUUUAAUACUAAGGUUAUUAGAGUAAAUACUUAACCUGAGUCACAUUAAAUUUGUAAUUGAAAAAUAGUUCGGAAAUAUGAAUUAAGCAGCAAUUACUUAUAUAAGUCACUCACUUAAGCAACACUCUCUCAAAUCAUAUGUUCCAAAGAUAAAAAUUUAUUAAGUAACAUUGUUUAAUUUUAAGCAAUUCAUGAAACACCCACGUUUAAAGAUGCUCGUAAUUUCAACAAGGACAAUCUUUAACUAAAUGUGGUAUCUUUAUUCAUACAAGAUCUCUCCAAUUACGAAAAACAUAAAAUAUCUUUAAUUUUGAAUAAAUAAAUAAAUAUUUCAUUUGACCCAACUAUCCUUGCAUUUCAUUAAAGAAUAAAAAUAUAGACAAUAUUUAGAAAUAAAAAGAAAUUAGAAACAAAAAUAACAUACUAAACAAUUUAUUCUUAUAUUAUAAAUUAGAAUUCUUAUUUUUAAAUAAAAUAAUUUUUAAGUGUUAUUUCCACUCUCAUUAAGGGAUCUAGCUUUUAGUUUGUUGAGCAAUGUGUCGUGCGCGUGAGUUAUUGUAAAUCUAAGCACUGUAUUCGAUUCACGGAUAUCUUAUCGUAAACAUUAAAUAUUUAAUUUUAUUUUUAUUCCUUUCAAAUAUUAUUUAUUUUUAAAUUUAAAUUUAGUUUGAUUGUAUAGUCAAAUAGUAAGUUACCAAGCUCAACUAUGUUGAAUUCGAUUUUGGAUUUGUUGAUUCUAUUUCUACUUAAUGUAGAGGGAUCUUUCAUAUAUUAAAUAAAAUUGGGCUCAUGUAGUAAAUGUUAACACGAUCUGUGGUCUUAGAAUUGUGGAGGGAUCAAAAUUGUUGGGCAGUUACUUUGUGCACCAGCAAAAUUUCUUGUGCAUCCAACAACUUUUGAAAAUUAUGAUACUACCCCUCUCUUUUCUUCUUCUACGGUUUCCUUCUUCAUGUGACACUUUUAUUUGUUUGUCUUCACCUUCAUUCUCGUGAGAGGUGCUCAUUUGUUGCUAUGUCAUCUUUGGUGUAGGUGUAUUGUUUACGGUGGUUCAUCGGUAAGUGGUGGUUGUUGUGGUGGUUUGUGUGGCCAUUAACGGCGAAGGUAAAGUUUGUAAUUGCAAUUUGGUUUUUUUCGCAUAAAAUUUACAGAUUGAUAAUCCAUAAGUUAUAUAAAACUUACGGAUUGAUAAUCCGUAAGAAACUUACGGAUGGACAAUCCAUAAGAAACUUACGAAUGGACAAUCCGUAUGUUAUUUAUGGAUUGACAAUCCAUAUGUUAUUUAUAGAUUGACAAUCCGUAAGUACCAUACGGAUUGACAAUCUGUAAGGUAAUCCGUAAGAACCUUACGGAUUGUCAAUCCGUAUGGUACUUAUGGAUUUCUAAUCUGUAAGUUCUUUUUUUAAUAAAUUAUUUUAUUGUUUAAUUAAAUAAAAUUAGAAUUUUUAAUUAAAAUACUUUUAAAUAGAUAUAGUUUCAUUGUUCAUUCGAAACUUAUAAUUUUUAUAGUUUGAGAGUGAUAUUAAUCUUAAAAUAAUUUAUACUUUGAAUUUAAUUUAGUCGUGUUAAUUUAACUUUGUUUUUUUUUUCCUUUUUAAUUUAAUGUAUUAUAUUCUUAAAUGCAGUAAAAAAAAUGAAAAAAAUUAUGUGAUAGUAUAUGUAUGGUUUGGUUAGGAGUUUUUUGUUUGUCAUUAAAUUUUUUCAAUGUUUUGUUAAGAUGAAUGAAGAUUAGUGAAUGCAUGACAAUAUAAUAUUUGAAGAAGUUUAUAUGAAUGAAGAAAAUGAAGACGAACUUGGUGUGAAUGAAGAACAUGUUGAUUAUUUUGAUGCCUUCAAUACUUCUCAGGUAUUAAUAUGAUUUAUUGUUAUUAAAGUAAGUAAAUGAAUGUCCCUUGAAGACUAAACUUGUAUGGAUAACAUUAUAGGUUUUUGUUAUCCGUAAUGAUGUUUUGCAUUGAGCUUAAUCUGUUGCUUAUGAAAUUGGUUUUGUGGUGGUGAUUAUGAGGACAGACACAAAUACUGGUAUUAGAAAAGGACAUCGUUUGUUUUAAUUGGUUGUGAACAGAGUGAUCAAUAUAUGGUCAGGAAGAAAGAUUUAGUAAGAACAGUUAAUAACAUUAGAAAAUAUGGGUGUCCGUUUAAGCUGCGUGCGAAACCAAUGGUGGGAAGGGAAUGAUGGAUGGUGAAGUUAAUGUGUGGGAGUCACAAUCAUGAAUUGGGCAAGUCAUUAGUUGGACAUCCAUAUGCUAGUCGGCUGACUAAGGAUGAGAAGAUUAUUAUUGCUGAUAUGACAAAGUCAAUGGUAAAACCAAGAAAUAUUCUUCUAAUGUUGAAGGAGCACAAUGACAAUAGUUAUACAAUAAUCAAGCAAGUAUACAAUGCAAGAAAUGCAUAUCGUUCUUCCAUAAGAGGCAAUAAUACAGAAAUGCAACAAUUAAUGAAGCUUCUUGAACGGGAUCAGUAUAUUCAUUGGCAUAGAUUGAAGGAUAAAGAUGUUGUACGUGACAUAUUUUAGAGUCAUCCUGAUGUAAUCAAAUUAUCCAAUGCCUAUAAUUUGAUAUUUUUGAUAGAUAGUACCUACAAAACAAACAGGUACAGGUUGUCGUUACUUGACAUUGUUGGUGUGACAUCAACAGGGAUGCCAUUCUCUGCUGCUUUUUCCUAUUUAGAGGGAGACCGUGUAAAUAAUGUUUUUUGGGUUCUAGAAUGAUUUCGAGGUAUUUUCAUCAAACAUGAUGCACUCCCUACAGGUGUUGUUACUAACAGAGAUGUAACAUUGAUGAAUGCAGUGAAAAUUGUAUUCCCCGAGUCUACCAAUUUGUUGUGUUGGUUUCACAUUGAUAAGAAUGUGAAGACAAAGUGUAAAAUCUUGGUUGGUAAAAAAAAUGCAUGGGAUUACAUGAUGGAAGCUAGGGGGAGUUUGGUGGAUUGUCCUUGUGAGCAACAAUUUGAUGAGUACCUUAAGAAGUUUGAAAUUGCUUGCUCACCAUGGCCAAUGUUUGUUGACUAUGUCAACCAAACAUGGUUGAUUUCCCAUAAAAAAAAGAUUUGUUAAAGUCUGGACGAAUAAGGUGAUGCACUUAGGAAACACAACGAAUAAGGUAUGAAAAUUGAAAAUUUUUGUUGUUGUUAGGUUUGGUAUUUAAUGGAUAAAAAUAAUUGUCUUUGUUUACUUUGUUGUGUAUUUGAUAUGUAGGGUUGAGUCAGCUCAUUGGGCCUUAAAGAGACUACUACAGAAUAGCCUUGUAGACCUAUGUAGUGUUUGGGAAGCCAUGAACAACAUGAUCAUGUUGCAACACACUGAAAUUAAGGCAUCUUUUGAGACAAGUACACAUGUGGUUGGCCAUGUUUUUAAAGUUACCUUAUACAAUAAACUACUUGGCAUGGUAUCAAGGUACGCUUUAAACCAGAUUGUUGCUGAGUAUAAGUGUGUAAGUUAUGCUGGUAUUGAUAGUUCUCGUUGUAGAUGUGUAAUGAGAACUACACAUGGUCUUCCUUAUGCAUGGAGUUAGCUAGAUAUGUUGUCGAUAGCAUACCUUUGGGCGUAAUUCAUUUGUUUUAGUGGAGGCUAAGUUUUUCAGACCAAGGGUUAUCUGAGCCCGAAUUUAGCAUUACCAAAAAGAUGGAAACCAUAUCCAAGCGGUUUGAAGAACUUGAUGUUUAUGGAAAAGUUACUCUAAAGAGUAAACUUUGAGAAAUUGUCUAUCCUGAUAUGAACUCUAUGUGUGCUCCUCCAGAAAAGGUCAAAACAAAAGGUGCUCAGAAGAAACGAUGACCAAACAUCAAAGAACAACAAAGCAAGAUCCAUCAUAUUGGGAGUAUGUUGAUGCAUUGCAUUAUGUGCAAAAUAGUAAUUCUUCAGUCAAAUGUAGUGCAUCAUCAUCUGAGCAAGCAAAAUCGAGAAGGACCAUGCCGAUGUUGGAUCAAUUCCAUCCAUCCAUUCAUGAUUCCAUUGAAAACAUUGUUGAUGUCAAUUGUUGAUGUCAAAGUUGAUAGUAACUGUGGAUAUCGUGCAAUUGUUGUCUUAUUAGGUAUGGAUGAAGAUUCAUGGUCUUUGGUGUGCAACCAUUUGCUUAAAAAACUUGCAAAAUGGUCUGAGGAGUAUAUUGAUCUGCUUGGUGGCAUAAGAUAGAUUUAAGGAAUUAAAAUGGUCCCUACUUGUUGAUGGAUUAUCCAUGGUAUAUAACUUUUUUGUUACAUUUUGAUGGAUUAAAUUUGCUUUAAAUAAAUGUAAUUUUAACUGUUACAUGCAGGUUACCAUGGAUAAGUGGAUGAAUAUAACCAACAUGGGAUAUGUAAUUGUAUCAAGAUAUAAUGUCAUCCUUAUUUCUCUUUCUCUCCAACAAAGUAUGACAUUUUUUCCUCUUAGAAGUCUACCACCAAGAGAUUGUUUUGUACAUCGCGUUAUAUGUAUCGAUCAUGUGUAUGACAAUCAUUUUGUUCAGGUAAAAGCAUGAUCAUCAUGUUUGUGUAAUUUAUAUAAUAAAAUGUGUUCUGAUAAUUUGAAUGUGUAUAUCCCUAUGUAACAUCUAUUUCUAAGAGACUAUUAUUCCUUACCGCCAGUAGCUUUGUUAUAGUCUACACAUUGUCAUCAUCAAGCAAAGCAGUGACCUACAUCAUAUAUUAGUAGAAAGCAUCAAUAUACAAAUUUAUCUCGCUUGAAAACAAAUUUUGUUGAUUUAGGGGAAGAUUGAACAUUUAGAACCUUAUGGGGUUGUCAUGUAAAACAAUAAUAUACACAUGUUUCAUUGGACGCUAAUAUAAUUUUCUAUUUUACUUAAGUUUAAAAGGGUAUAUAAUUAUUUAUGUUUUAGAGUUUUAACGACAAAAUUAUUUGACUAACGAGGGUUAGGGUUACUUGAAUACCUAGCUGGAAUACGUACGGUUUAGUGGUAUGUGACUAAUUAGGGUAUAUUGUAACCUGAAUACCUAUGUUGUAAAGGUACGUAACUAAUUAGGGUUUAGUCUUAGUUCACGACUUAGGGUUUAUUGUUACGUGACCAAUUAGGGUUUACAAAUACUUUAAUACCGAGGUUUCAAUGUUACAUGACUCAUUAGGGUUUAGUUUUACUUGACUAUUACCUAGGGUUUUUUGUUACGUGAGUAAUUAGGGUUUAGUGUUGCUUUAAUAUAUAGGGUUUAUUGUUACGUCAACAAUUAUGUUUGUUUGUGUAAUUAGGGUUCUUUAAUGUUUAACAUAAUAAAGUAAUUUGGUCAUUAAUUUAAAAUUCACAUACUGCACAAACGAAAAUAAAUAAAAACCUUUUCAAUUAAUAGUAUAUAAUAAACAUUGUCUAGUCAUAUUUCAUACAUAAUUCAUAUAAAACCUCAAAAAUCCUAAAACUCUUCAUGCGUCUUCCAUACGCCGCCUUCGUCUCGAUCGAACAUAUACAUUCCAUUCCGCAAUCACACCUUUUGUGAUCCUUAGACACUCUUUGGUGACAGUGUAUGCCUCUGUUCCUUCAAUGACAACCUUUAGGUUGAUCAACCGUUCCAACCUUUCUGCUAUUGUUUGGCAAGCCUCCUAUAACAUUGACAACAAUGAAAACAUUUACACUUAAUGCAUGACAAAUAAAAUGAGUCACUGCUUAAUUAAAAAUUUAUUUUACCAGUGCAUGUCGAGGCUGCUCUACAUCAGCAAGUGCAUCUAUUGGUGCUUCGUCCAUAGCUAUUGUGGCCACCGGCUGCUGAUGAAGAAUUGGUUCAACAAAUGUGUCAUCAUGCACCACGAGUGGAUGUCUAGGAGGAUCCCUAGCUGUGCGGGACUCAUGAAGGGAUGAGAUAUCAUGUAGAACCACUCCAUGUAGUCUGCUACACACUGUCUAGACGCAACACAUAUCUGACCCACCGGUGGAAGGUAUUCAGAAAACUGAAUCCAUCUAUCAUCAAUAUCUUCUAUACAUAGAGAUGGAAUAGCAGGGUGUGGAGGAAUGAUCUGCAUAUAUCCAAACUGUCGCACAACCCUUUCUAGUCGAUGUAUGACAAUAGAUGGACCCCAACCGAUAUGUCCGGAAAAUAAAGAGAUCAACUAAAAUUCUUUGAAUGCACGAUGGUCACCAUAAGGAAUCUAGCACACAACAUCAGACGUCAAUCUAUCCAAACGCUUAUGAUACGCCGACACUGGCAACGCCUUCCCAGACUUCCAAUAGCAAGCAUGUGGUUUCCUCUCAUCAUAAUCUUUAGCAGCAAUAAAAGAAGCAAUAGAAGGAAAAUGCUCAUAGAUCCAACACCACACAUAUUUUAAAAAAAUCAAAACAAUACACAAUAUAAAUUACAGAACUAAAAAUAAAAUUUAAAAUAAAUUAUAAUUACAUGCAAAGUGUGAUAUAUCCUGCAAGUUUCCUAUUGCUGCUCUUUGACGCAUCAUUCAAAUUCUCAUACAUAUGGACCAGUGCAGCAACUCCCCAUGCGUAGCUUCCAGUUUGACUGAGGUCAUGAAAUGCAUCAAAGCAUACCACAUGCAUGUGUGUGGCACUCUUGUUAGAAAAGAGUAUUCAAUCUACCAGAUGCAAGAGAUAUGCUCAAGCUGCUAUAGUCCACUGUGAUGCAUCACAUUUGCUACGAUAAAUGUCUCACAACCAGGAUAGCCAAACAUAUGCCCCAUGACAUUGUUCUGUCUCAGCUCUUGCUUCUUCUGAACUAACUUCAAGCAAUUUAACUAAGAGGAAGACGGGUUCGUCCACAUGAAAAGCCUAAAAGCUAUGGAAGACACCUAUAAUGGGCAAAUGUAGCAACGAUGCCACAUCAUCUAGGGUGAUAGUCACAUCUCCUACCGAAAGAUGAAAACUACUAGUUUCCUUAUGCCACCUCUCCACAAAAGUAUAUAUAAGUCCCCGAUCACCAGUGUCCAAGGAACAUGUGAUCAAAGGACUUAAUCCUGUGGCAGCCACUAAGCUUUCAAUCUCUACAGCAGGCCUGCCAAAUUUCUCGGCCUUCCUUCCAUGGGAGGACAACUUCAACUCAAGACGUUCUUGAAAAUAAAAAUAUAAAUCAUUUGAACAAUAAUAAAAAAUUCUUAUGAAAAUAUUAUUUAUUUAAAAAUAUAAAUACCUUUCCAUUCCAAACUGUCAUUGCCACAUGAUGAACAUAGUCCAUCAAAACUGAUGUAUCAUGGGACUCGCCUAGAAAACUCUCGGUAUCAGUAACUACAUCAUCAGUAGUUGUCUUUAGGCUGUUCAUGGACCUCAUCAGUUGCAUGAUCCACUUGCUCAACAUACUCAGCAACAGGUGCAGCUUCUUGUUUCCUACAUGCAGAUGUUGUGGGCCUUCGCCACCGGGGGCCUUAAUUCGCAUCACGACUAACUUCUCUCCCUAAGGCUCUUCCAAUAACCCUGUCUAAAACCCGACCAAAACCUCUAGUUCUAAUCAUAAUAUGCACAUUAAAACAGUCAUAACAAUUAAUGUCAUCGUUCAAAUAAUAGUUCACUUUCAUAAAUAUGUAUUUACUAAUUUUUUAUUUAACUUUGUUAAUACCUUUUUAUAUUCAUAAAUAAAUAUACAAUUUUUUCCAAAAAUUUAUAGACUGCACACCACUAAUUCUAGUAGACUUAAAUAUAUGAUAAAAAUCUUUCAAUUUUUUUUUAAUUUCCAAUAAAUGAGUAUUUUUUUACACUACCAAAUACUAUUUAUAUAAAUAUUUAUUACUAUUAGUUUCAAAAAAAUUAUAUCAUUAUAUCAAUAAAAAAAUUUUGUCAUUUACAUAUAUAGAUUUUCUUGUAAAACUAAUUUGUACAAUAUAUACUAAUAAAAAUUUGGAAUCAAUCAUACUUAAAUAUUUUACAAAUAACUAUUUCAAAUUUCAAAUAUAAUUUAAUUGCUUAAACAAAAAAAAAAUGAAUGAAUGAAUGAAUUAUUAAAAACCAACUUAAAAAAACAAAUUUAAUUAAUUAAAUAAAUACAUAUUAAAAAUAUUCAACAAUAUUUUUUUACAAAAUAUUUAUUAUAACAACUGAAUUAUUGAAUUACUUUUUAAAUUAAUAAUUUAUUUUAUUAUUAAUUUAUUAAUUAACAUAUUUAAAAUAGAAACAAUUAUACGAAUUGACAAUCUAUAUGAUUUAUACGGAUUUUCAAUCUCCCCCAACAGAAAAUGCACGAUAAAACCUACAAAGAGAAAGAGAGCCUUAUGACAAGGAAGGAGAAGAUGAUGACGACUACGAUGGCGGUCACUGGAGGCACGAAUGGCAGCGGCAGGAAGCGUUUUUAAAAUUUAAGUGAAGGAGAAGAAGCACAGCCUGUACGGACGUCAACAAUGAGUCGGAGUGGGAGAGAGAAGCAUUUUUAAAAUUUAAGUCAAAGACAUUUUUACCACUUCACAUAAAUUGUUGGGUGUACAAGCAUUUCUGCUGGGUGCAAGAAGCAAUUGCCAAAUUGUUGGCCUAUAUUAGUAGUUAUUUUCGAUAUAUUAUCUUUUAGUAUAGCGAUGCCUCAUUUGAUAUCUUAAAGAUGUUUCUUCAACUAUGCUCACAAUUUUCCUUGUGGUGAAGGUUUACAUUGUUACUUGCUGAAACGAUUUCAACAUAAAUUUUCUUGUAAUGCAAAUACAUUACAGCAGCAUUUGUAGCAUACUGAAAUUGUUCAAACAUUUUUCCUGGUGGUCCAUGAUAGGGGCAGCGACAUCAUCGUCGUGGGACGUGGCAUCAUCAAAGCAGCAAACCCUGCCAAGGCAGCUCGUGAAUAUCGUCUUCAAGGAUGGAAUGCAUAUUUGGCUAAAUAUAAUUGAUGCCUGCAUUCCUAGAAUAAAAUUAUGAGCUUAAGUUAUGUUUUAAUGGGACAUCUAAUCUCACUGUAACCCAGAUGAAAAUGGUCUUGGGUGCAAUAUAAAGACAUUUUUCGGUUGGAAUAUUGAAGUGGAUUUUUCAUUUUCUCUGAGGAAAAUUAAAUUAAAUUAAAUAUAAAAUAUAGAAUGGUAGCAUGGAAUUUCAUAUAAUUUUCCCACAAUAAAUAUGAAGGAACCGAAGAUAUAUCAACUCCUCUGUUCUAAGGUUUGCUUACACUUAAAACAAAGAAGCUGGUCAAGAAUAAAAAGCAAAUAGUAUAUUUUAAAUCUGGAUACUUCGUAUCAAUUUGAAGAUUUUUUCCUUUUAGAUAAACUAAAUUUUUUGAUUAUUCUAAGUUGAUCUUAAUUUGAAUCUGACUUUUAUAUUUUAAAUUUUGACACACAAUAUCAAUAAAUUUUUAGAUUAUUCUCAAUUGAUCCUAGAAAUCCUAAUUUGUUCUUAUUCAAUUUAAUGGAAAAUUUGUUUCACGAAUUUGAUAAUAUUUUCGAAAAUAAUAUUCUAACAAAUGUUAUUACUUUUUACUAAGAGAGUUAUCCACAUCAAAGAUGUUUGAUAUAUAAUUCUAAUUUUUGGAAAUUUUUAAAUUUAUUUUCAUUUACAAAUAAUAAAAAAUUUAAGAUAAACAACUCAUUUAAACAAUAAUUGUAGAUACUUUCUUAGUAGUAUCUCCUCUACCAACCAUCUUAAAUUUAUUUUCAUUCAAAAGCAAAAAUAUUAAAUAAAUAAAGUAUAAUAAGAAAAAAGUGAGAAAUUAUUUUAAAUAUUUUCACGAGAAUAUAAGAUUCUCACUCAUGGGAAUGAAAAUAUGGAGAAAUAUGUGUAAUAUGAAUUCCUAGGAAUGAAUUAUGCAUGAGAAUAAUUUUUUAGAUUUAAAUAUGUUUAAGGUCCUGAUGAAUGAUCAAAUUUUAUUCUAAAUCUCUAAUAAAAAAAUUUAUUUGUUGUGAGUCUAUGAUAUAUUAAAACUUAAUUGACAACAUAGACUCAACAAAAGUUUUAAUAUAUUAUAGACUCACAACAACAAAAAAAUUUAUUAGAAACUCAUAACAAAAUUCGAUCAUUUAUCAAGGACAUUAAAUAUAUAUAGGUCUUUUUUUAUUAUCUUCUAACAAGCAUAGGAAUAUGUACACAUUUCAAGUAAUCUAAUAAAAUUCCAUAAAACAAACGUCCCUAAUAGAAUAUUUAUUAUUAAUAAUAAAAAUUAUUUUUUAUUCUAACUCUUUUUUUAUUUAUAUAUUUUUUGAAAUUUAAAAUUGAUUAUAUUUUUCACCAUGACAUUGGUAUAAAAUAUCUAUCAAUUACUAGUUUUGAUGAUGGCUAAACUUUAUUGGAAAACUUGAUUGGACACCUUUAGUAGUGUCUCCUUUACUAAUUGAACUAUUUUCAUCCACAAGAUUUGAAUUCUAAACCUUACUUAGAGGAAACGAAUUCAAUUAUACUCGGACAAACGACAUGUUGAUACAUUUAAAAUUAACUAUGAUAAGUCCUUUAAUUUUCAUAUAGAUAUUUUAUUUAAAUUUAAAAUAUCUAUGAAAUGUAUCGAAAACUUUGCUAAUUUAAUACAUUAAAAUAGCAAAUAUAUUAAUUUUUGCAUGAAUAAAAUUAAACUAUCAACUAAAUAUAAUGCACUAUUUUUUUUAUAUCAGUAGAAAGGAAAACUAGUAGGAAGGGAUGGAUGUUUGGAGAUGAAGAGUUUGUCGAGGAAGAAAGAAACUUUUAAGACCUUUCAUUAACAAUUUAUUAAAAUUAAAAAAAGUAAAUGACAUUAAACAUUGUGAGAACCAAUGUGACAUCAAUAACAUGAUACUUCAUGUGUCACGUUAUUACUUAUUAAAAACAAACAUUUUCAAAUACUAGAUACUAAAAUAUAAAAAAAAAAUAGUUUAGGUACUAUAAAACUAAAAAGGACUAUAUUGUAGGUACUAAAUAUAUUUAAGUCAUAAUUUUAAAUGCAAACCUUUCUUAAUAAGAAAUUAUGGAUAUUAAGAUUAAUUAUAGAUAACAUAGUGAGACAAUAGAUCGAAAAAGUAACUGCUUGAUUUUAGCAUAUAUCACUAAAUUUUUAACCAAUUUAUUUGAGUAGUUUUUUUUAAAAAUCCAAAAAUCCAUUUGUCAUAAUUUUCUGUUUUUUAUUUAAAAAAAACUUUAUAUAAUGUCAACACCCAAAAGAUUACAUAAUGUGAAGUUACAUGGCAAUUUUUGCUGGCUAAAAUUGAAAGAAACCAUGACUGCACAAUCUAAGGAAACAAACUAGUGAGAUCAUAUCAAGGUUCCUGCUGCAAGGAACAAGCUAAAUACAGCAGCACUUCGCAGAGUGGUCUGCCCUAUAUGUCUUAUCUUUAGGAGUCCAGGAACCUGCAAGGUUUCAACAUCAAAGCUGAGUAACUAAACAAAGGAAGCUACAUCAUUAUUCAGUAGAGUAAUACCCUAGGAAAGAAUAAAGAAAUGCCAUUGCACUUCUACAGAAAACCAGAGAAAUGAUUUAGUAUAUAUAUACUGCCAACAGAGACACGCGCAAUAGAUAGUAUCCUUUAAAAGCCUCGUGGCUCGAACAUGCAUAUGAUUGACCGGUAGUCAAAGUUUGAAGAUUAGAUAUAUAUGUGAAAAGGACUAAGAAGCCUAAAAGGACUAAUUCAUAAUAUACUUUUGAAUAUCAAAAUUGUAUUACUCAUCUACCUACAACUUGGAAAUGAUAAGUAUGUUAUCCUAGUAUUUUCUUUCAGAUUGGGAAUUAUGAUGAUACAGUGAUAAACAAUGAAUUGUUUAAUUGAAUACAUCAUAUAAUGUAUGAGAAUCAAAAACAAAAUUAUCUUCGUUUUUUAUUAUAUAAACAUGUAAAUCAGAUUUUAGAGAUGCCAGGCCCAAGGGGGAUAUCAUUAUGAGAGAAUUGAGCUGGAUGGCAGUUAAGGAAUGCUUGUGCAGCAUUCUAUUAUAUGUGCAGGGGGGAGUGCAGAGACUCCAUCAAGAAUCUUUUUGCCAUUUUGGGAAUCUAAGGUUAAUUCCUUUGGUUGUGCUGCUUUCUAGCGGGUUUUGCUGUACUCUUCCAAUAGCACCGCCAACAAAAGGCUGAUGCUAGGUGCACCCAGCAAAAUUGCUGGUGCACCCAGCAAUUCAUUGAAGUUACAAAAAUGCCCUUCGUUUAAAAAUCAAAAGUUAAUAAAUUUUUUUAAAAAACCUUUCUUCUUCCACGCUCCUUCCUCGUCCGUGCACCCAACAUUUUUCUCCCCUUCUUCGCCUUCUUCUUCUUGGUCCAGAGUCUUCUUCCGCGCUCCUUCCUCGUUCGUGUUCUUCAGUGGUCUUCCUCGCAGCAGUCUUCUUCUUGCCGGCACAAGCUUUGGUUCUCCAUUUUGGUUCCGUCCCUUCAUCUUCUUCAUUGGCUUUCUGUGAGCGUUUCUUCCGCCAUCAAUGUUAGUGUUCUAACCCCAUUGGCUUUGGUUAUCUGUUAGAAUCGCGUUAAUGGCCUUAGGAUAGACGACAUUGCUGUUGUUUGGUGCUGUAGGUUGAAGACGAAGUUCUUCCACGAGAAGAAGCUUCUUCCGCGCAUGUGUUAGGGGACGAAAAUGGAGCCAGCGGAAGAAGGUGUUCUUCUGCGGGCUCCUGCGGAAGAAAGGUGAAAGGUUCUUCCGUGGGUGCCAGCGGGUGCCUGCGGAAGAAAGGUGAAAGGUUCUUCCGCUGGAUCAAGGCGGGGAUCCAUGUGCAGUUGGUGAUUACAAAUCCAAGCACCCACAUGGAUCCCCAAGCCUUGUGCCCUUUUUGAAUAUUUGACCAUACUCUCUAUUUUUAUAAAUUCUCAAUUCACAAUCAAUCAAAGUGUUUUACUCCACAUGAAUCUAAUUCAAAAAAUCCACUCUUAAGUAAUUUGAGUUUCAGGGCGGGGAUGGAAAAACCCUGUCAUCAUGCCUACUUGAAUAGCAGUGGCUCUGCUAUUCAAGAGACACAGGAUUACCACUGUUCAAGGCUUGUCAGAACCAUUUGCAUUGUGAGAAAUUGCUUAGUUAAUGAAGUUCGUGUGAUGAUAUUAAGCUUUUGCAUCAACCCUUUUCCAUUCAUUUUCAUUUGAUCACAUCACAUCACAUGACAUCAUUGACAUGUGUUUCAUUGUUGAUGUUAAGUUAGACAGUUCAUAUAAUUUCUUUGAUUUAACUUGAACUUAGAGAUGAAUUAAAGGAUUUUAUACCACAGUAAUUGAUUCUAAUAGCAAUGUAUAAAGGAAAGAAAAAUAAACCUUCUGGUUUAAUAACUAGAAUUGUGUCUUGAGAGAAUCACAAUGACAGGAUUUGAGUUCUACUAAUCAAUUGAAUUAUAUUUGGUGUGAUUUAUAUAUGCAUUUGUUAUAUAUGCAUUUGUAUGUCAAUUAUUUGGAUAAAUUAUGUUGAACUAAAUAUAUAAUCUGUGGAUUUGGAUAAAUUAUGUGGAUUAGUUAGAAUUCCAAAGCUUUGUUACACAAAUUAAUUGAGUAUUCUUCAUGAUUUCAGAUCAUGGUUAGAACAUGAGGUCUACGUCAUGUGGUAGGCACAGGUAGAGGCAAAGACCUUAGUCAGGAUGUGGCUGAGGAUGUUCCUUGGCGUCGUAGGCCCACUGCCUCAGCACGUAGGCAACGGGUUACCCAGAGAGUCGAGGAUGUUCCUCAGUUGGCUGAGGAUGUGCCUCAUGCGUCUGAUGGUAGCCCAGAGAGGACAGCAGCUGCCGAUGAUGCCGAGAUAGAUCGAUUGGCUAGUGAUGGGACAGCUGAUGAUGAUGAGGGGUUCCCCGGUGGGCCACGUGAUCCAUCUAUUUUGAUAGGAUUUGUUGAUCAUGUGGCACACAACAUAUGGAGUGGACAGGUACGUACUUAUUUUAUUCCAGUAAUUAGAAAGUAGUUUCUUUUAUUUUGAAUACACAAAUUUAUAAACUGUUAUUCAAUUUAGGAGCGACUUGAUCUCAAGUUGGUCUCCCAUGGUAGGAAAGUAGAUAAAUUUGGGAGACCGACUGCUGAGAUCGAAGGUAUGAUUGCGGCCACCGGAUUGGAUCCAUUGAUCAGGUGUUCUGUGAUCACCACUGAUCUUGGACUCGUAUCCGCCUUUGUUGAGAGGUGGCUUAGGGAGACGAGCAGCUUCCACCUCCCAGUAGGGGAGGUGACGAUCACUCUAGACGACGUUUCGUCGCUGCUGCACAUUCCGAUUACUGGCGCGCUGCAUUCAUUCGAGCCGCUGGCUACAUCUGACGUAGUCGCCCUGUUGACAGAGCUACUUGAGGUCACCCCAGAUGAGGCUAUAGCUGAGACAUGUCAGGCAGGUGGCCCUCAUGUUCGGUUGUCUUGGCUUCGGGACAUGUACUAGAGUAGGUGCCGGGCCAGGCAGUGGGUUGCUGCAGCUCGGACAUACCUACUUCAUUUGGUUGGUUGCACUCUUUUCGCUAACAAGAGUGCAACCCAUGUGCACGUUGUGCACCUGCAGGCAUUCGGAGACCUAGGCCAGGCAGGGGCAUUCUCUUGGGGAGCAGCCGAUUUGGUCCACUUGUACGAUCAGCUUAACGAGGCGUCGCAUGCCCCUACACGGCAGAUGGCUGGUUACAUUUCACUACUUCAGGUGAGUAUUGGUGCUUGUAAUUUAAAUUAAAGUAAAAUUCAAUCCAUGUUUGAUUGAUGAUGUUGACUUUGUGUUUGUAGUGCUGGAUUUACGAGCACUUUCCAUCAGUCCAAAGGUCUGUUGUUGACGAUGGUUAUGCUGAGGCUAGCCCACGUGCCUGUAGGUGGCUUACGGGUAAGGCCCAGAUGACCGGGAUUAAGGGAGCCCCUUACAGAGCACGUAUUGAUGCCCUGACAGUGACCGACGUCUGUUGGAUGCCAUAUGCUGAGAAUCGGGGAGUUCGGGGCUAUGACUUGAUCUCCUCGUACACGGGGCAAGUCAGAUGGGGUCCGAUCAUCGUCUACCUUCGACCAAAGAGGGUGGUUCGACAGAUGGGGUACAUUCAGACCGUUCCUCCGCCACCGGUUCGUGAUUCGUUGACAGGUACUGAUAUAGACGACCGGUGGGUACACUUUUCAGACCAUGUGGCGCCUACAGGGGAGCUUUGUGUAGUUCCUGGACAGGUGGCCCCAGACUACAUGGAGUGGUUUUUUCAGAUUUCGCACCCCUUUGUGACGCCGACGGAGGACAUUGUUGAGCCGAGACCUGCGCCUCCCCCUCCCACUGAUGAUGACUUCUUCGAGCCACCUGUCGUCGAGGUUCCAGUCGCGUCAGAUCCCCCUACGACAGAGACCCCGCAUAGAUUAUGAUUUAUCUUUUUUAUUGUAUUUGUUUAUGUAUUUAAUUUUUAAUAUUUGUUAAAACACAUUGACUUAGAUAAUGUCUCUAUUUCUUUAUGUAUUUAAAUUAUCUUUUUACUUAAAUUGUUAAUUUUAGUAUUUUUUUAUGUAUGUGAUAAAUAUAAGUUAGAAAUUUUUAAAAAUAUGUUACAAAUUUUAAAAAAUAAGUUAGACAUUUUAAAAAGUAAGUUAGAAAUUUAAAAAAAUAAGUUAGAAAUUUUAAUUGAUUGAAACAAAUAAGUUAUAAAUUUUAAUUAAAUGUAAUUGAUUGGACAAAAUAAGUUAGAAAUUUUAAUUUAUACUGAAAAUUAUUAUAUAGUUUAAACAGCAAUAAGUUAGAAAUUUCAAAAAAAUAAGUUAGAAAUUUUAAAAAAUAAGCUACAAAUUUUAAAAAAUAAGUUAGACAUUUUAAAAAGUAAGUUAGAAAUUUUAAAAAAAUAAGUUAGACAUUUCAAAAAAAUAAGUUAAUUUUUUUUAAAAAUGAGUUAGAAAUUUUAAAAAAUAAGCUAGAAAUUUAAAAAAAAAUAACUUAGUCAUUGAAACAAAUAAGUUAGAAAUUUUGAUUAAAUGUAAUUGAUUGGACAAAAUAAGUUAGAAAUUUUAAUUUAUACUGUAAAUUAUUAUAUAAUUUAAGCAACAAUAAGUUAGAAAUUUUUUAAAAAUAAGUUACAAAUUUUAAAAAAUAAGUUAGACAUUUUAAAAAGUAAGUUAGAUUUUUUAAAAAAAUAAGUUAGACAUUUUAUAAAGUAAGUUAGAAAUUUUAACAAAAUAAGUUAGAAAUUUUAAUUGAUUGAAACAAAUGAGUUAGAAAUUUUAAUUAAAUGUAAUUGAUUGGACAAAAUAAGUUAGAAAUUUUAAUUUAUACUGAAAAUUAUUAUAUAAUUUAAACAACAAUAAGUUAGAAAUUUUUUUAAAAUAAGUUACAAAUUUUAAAAAAUAAGUUAGACAUUUUAAAAAGUAAGUUAGAAAUUUUAAAAAAAUAAGUUAGAAAUUUUAAUUGAUUGAAACAAAUAAGUUAGAAAUUUUAAUUAAAUGUAAUUGAUUGGAAAAAAUAAGUUAGAAAUUUUAAUUUAUACUGAAAAUUAUUAUAUAAUUUAAACAAAAAUAAGUUAGAAAUUUUAAAAAAAAAAUAAGUUACAAAUUUUAAAUAAAUAACUUAGAAAUUUAAAAAAAUAAGUUAGAGAUUUUAAAAAAUAAGUUAGAAAUUUUAAAAAAAUAAGUUAAUUUUUUUUAAAAAAUGAGUUAGACAUUUAAAAAAAUAAGCUAGAAAUUUUAAAAAAUAACUUAGUUAUUGAAACAAAUAAGUUACAAAUUUUAGUUAAAUGUAAUUGAUUGGAUAAAAUAACUUAGGUUGUCGAUAAAACAAACGCCUUACAACUUGGGAUUCGUGAAUCCCAUGAGGAGGAUUCCCUUUAGGUGUUACUUGCUUGAUCAAAUCCUUCAGUUGAUCUAUGCUACAUCCUUUUGGAAUAUCAAAAUUUUUUGGAUUUAUUCCGGUGAACGCGUAACCCACAAAGUUGUUUUGGCGUGGCAUGUUCCACCUUCCAUUGUAAUACAGAACCGCAUCAUGUGUAGGGAUGCUGGGGAGUUCAAGUAAGUUUAAAAUUGCAUAUGUUGUUAUACCAAUGAUACAUAACAACUCAAUCGGUCCAACAAAUGAAAAUUGAUCAUUAUACAUUAACAUGGUGUUCACAUCCAUGUCAUUUUUCAAUUGCAUACUUUCAAAGUGGAUGUUGUUACCUGUAUCUUCCACUGGUCGCCGGUAAUGAAUUUCAUCCACAACUUGAUUGUUGUUUAGCUGAAGGCUGUUGUGUAUUCUGCUUUUGAGAGUUGAAAAAUCGUAUAGGUUUGGUACUCGCAUGGGCACUGGACUAGAACUUUGAAAAUAAACCCCACACUCGUUGUGAAUGACGGUUCCAUUUGGAAAAAUGAAUGUCAACCUCGAGUUCACGAUCGUCUGGGACGAAGUCUCUCCUAAGAAUGCCAUUGUUUAUCGAAAAUUAAUUUGACAAACUCUGAAUACCAGUUGCUGUUGAGUACCAUGGACAUCCCAAUCUGUCAUUUAUAUAGAUGGCCCAGCCAGCCACAUGGCUUCACUUUUACCAGACCCGUGACUAUUUUACAUUGUGAAGCGUAAAACUAAAGCAACCUCCUUUCACGUCGUUCACUGUCAGGUCACGUCAGUCAUUGUCGUCUGACGUCAUUAACUAUUGUGUAACAUCAAACCCAGUUCACAGAACUACUUAUUUCAUCAAACCUUGCGUGGAAGAGUUAGCAAAAGGAAGGCCCAAAACCCAAAAAAGUUAGUUUCGGGGCAUGUAAAGUUGCCUAAGUACCCCUGUUCAGGGAUUUUUUAAAAUUAUCUGCGAAAGCCGUGAGACUCUCCAAAGGUGGCCUGUCUCAUGUUUGCACGUCAACGAAUCCGAAAACAAUAACAGCAGACACCGGUUCAUUCAAAAAGGGCCUGCAACAGAAGGCCCAAAACUCAAAAAAGUUGGUUUCGGGCCAUGCAAACUUGCCUAACUACCCCUUGUUCGGGGUUUUUUUAAAAUUAUCUGAGAAAGCCAUGAGACUCUCCAAAGGUGGCCUGCCUCAUGUUUACAUGUCAACGAAUCCAAAAAAAAUAACAGCAGACACCGGUUGAUUCGAAAAGGGCCUGCAACAGUAGGCCCAAAACUCAAAAAAGUUGGUUUCGGGCCAUGUAAACUUGCCUAAGUACCCCUGUUCGGGGUUUUUUUUUUUAAAUUAUCUGGGAAAGCCGUGAGACUCUCCAAAGGUGGCCUGACUCAUGUUUGCACGUCAACGAUUCCAAAAAAAAUAACAGUAGACACCGGUUCAUUCGAAAAGGGCCUGCAACAGAAGGCCCAAAACUCAAAAAAGUUAGUUUCGGGCCAACAUUUCCUCUUUAUGGACGACACGUGGCCUGCUACUCUGGCCCUUAUCUGGCAUGUCCAUCUUUCAUGGCGUGACAUUUAAUUCGUCGUAAGAAAAAACUGAAGGACACCUCACUUGUUUCUCUUUCGGCCGCCACCGAUCUUGUUGUCGUCGAAGGCGCCCUUGCGCUUGCCGGCAGAACCUUUUUCGGCAACCUCCUUGUCUUUUCCUUUGGCCUUGUUCGUCCUUUCUACAGAGAAUGCAAUGAGACCAACGCCAAUUGCAUGGUCAGAGUUAGAGAAAUGGAGAGAGGAAGAAGUGUGUGACUGGAGUGUGUGUAACUUUGAAGAACGAGGAGUCCAAAAUGAAUUUUACUGUAAAAAAUUUCAGGAAAAAUGUGACCGACACAUAUCAUGCGGUGCGUAGAAGAAUCGGCCAUUGGUCAACUUCUCAGAGGAAAAAAUCAUUUAACUAGUACAAAAUAAUCUUAAAAUUAACAAAAUAAUUUAACUAAGUAACCCAUGAAAGAACCUUCUUCCGUGGGACUCCACGGAAGAACCUUCUUCCAUUGAGUCCCACGGAAGAAGGUUCUUCCGCAGUUCCACGGAAGAUUUCUUCCGCCCCUGUCAACGGAACAAGUUUGCAAAAAAGCAUGAAGAGCAUUUUUGGGAAUUUUAAAAUUUGCUGGGUGCCCCUAGCAAAUCCCCCAACAAAAGCUUCGGCUCUGUUGAACAAGCCCAUGGAUCAAGAGCAUAUCAAGCCCAUAACCCAACCCAUAACAAAUAAGGGUGUUACUUGGUGCACCCAACAUUUUUGCUGGGGCACCCAGCACCCAUGGUGAAAUGGAAAAAUUUCCCUUCAUCCUAAUAUUAUAAAAACUCCUAGUUUUUUGUCCGUACGCUGCUUCUUCGUCUCCUACACUACUUCUUCUCCUCCUACGCUGCUUCUUCGUCUUCCUCUUCCUCUGUCAUCUUCGUCUUCCUCUUCCACUUCCUCUAUUGGUGCUUAUUGGUUGUUCCUCUUCCUCUAUCACCGUUGGUGCUUGAUCCUCUUCAUCUUCCGCUGUGCACCUCUUCGUCUAUGUUAGGAGUCCAUUGAUGAGAAGGGGCUGGGGAAAGCUUGAACCCAAUUCCUACAGUGAUGAAUAAAAGUGAAAUUAAAAUUCCUAGGGAAUUAUACAUUUGUGUAUUGAUAAACCAUGAACCAGAAUAGAUCCCGUGUCGCCGUUCUUCUUCUUUGUCUCCAACAAAAAAAUGACAUUUUUCUAGAAAAAUCCAUACGGAUCAGCGAUCCGUACGGAUUGCUAAUCCAUAUGAGUUUUUUUUUGUUGAAUAAUUUAAAAUUUAAGAUUGGAUUGCUAAAAUUAAGAUACGUUUUUUUUAAAAUAUAUUAGUUAUUACUAAGAUUAGAUUAGAUUGCUAAAAUUAAGAUUAGAUUGGUGAAACAAUUAAUUUUCAAUAUUGUUAUAAAAAAAUAUGGAAACCAAAAUUUAAAAUAUAAUCAGAUUGUUAGUUUAAGAUAAUGAUUUAGUAGUUAUAAAAAAUAUAUUAAAAAUAUUGAAACCAAAAUUGUUAUAUAAUUGAUUUAGUAGUUAUAAAAAAUAUUGAAACCAAAAUAUAUAAUUGAUUUAGUAGUUAUAAAAAAUAUUGAAACCAAAAUUUAAAAUAUGAUAAGAUUGUUAGUUUAAGAUAAUGAUUGAAAUCAAAUUUAAAAAUAUAUUAGUUAUUAAUAAGAUUGUAUUAGAUUGCUAAAAUUAAGAGUAAAUUGGUGAAGCAAUUAAUUUUCAAUAUUGUUAUAAAAAAUAUGGAAACCAAAAUUUAAGAUAUAAUCAGAUUGUUAGUUUAAGAUAAUGAUUUAGUAGUUAUAAAAUAUAUUAAAAAUAUGAAAACCAAUAUUGUUAUAUAUUUGAUUUUAUAGUUAUAAAAAAUAUUGAAACCAAAAUUUAAAAUAUGAUAAGAUUGUUAGUUUAAGAUAAUGAUUGAAAUCAAAUUUAAAAAUAUAUUUGAUUUUGUAAUUAUAAAAAAUAUUGAAACCAAAAUUUAAAAUUUAAAAUAUGAUAAGAUUGUUAGUUUAAGAUAAUGAUUGAAAUCAAAUUUAAAAAUAUAUUAAAUUUGGUAGUUAUAAAAAAUAUAGAAACCAAAAUUUAAGAUUUAAAAUUUAUUAUGAAUCCAUAUGUUUUAAUUUUUUAAAAAUUAUUUUUUUAGAAAUUUUUUAUUCAUUUAAUUUAUUUACAAAAUUUAAUAAUUAAAAAAAUUUGAUAUUUAAUUGAAUGAUGUAUUUAAAUAUUUAUUAUACUGAUUAAAAAUUAAAUAAAUAUGAUAUUUAAUUGAAUGAUGUAUUUAGAUGUUUUUAAUAGCAAUUGAUAAUUAAAUAAAUUUGAUAUUUUUUACAUAUGUAAAUACUUAUUAAACCUACCAUUUUUAUUUAUAAUUUAUAUAUAUAAAAAAAAUUAAUUAAUAUAUAAAAAAUAAUCAUCACAAAAUUUAUUAUGUAAAUUUACAUAUACAUUAAAUAUAAAUUAGAAAUUUUAGUGUUAUAUAUAACGACACUAUUUGCUUAUAACAUAAUGCGUCUAUUAGCUCGUUUAGUUUGAGUAUUCUAUUAAUAAUGCAAGUGAUACAAGUUUGAUUCCUUCUUGGACCAUUAAUUUUAAAUUAAAUCGUAAAUUAUAUUUUUUUAAAAAAAAUUAAAAAAAAUCUUAUGGGUCACGUACGGAUUGACAAUCCAUGGAUGUAUGAUCAUACGGAUUGGUCAUACGGAUUAUUAAUCCAUAUGUGCAUACCAUUUUUUUUUGUUACCUUUCCUUUUCUGACGAUGAAAACCGACCAAAAAUCACCGUAUACUCUUGACAAACGUACGUACACCACCGGAGACUAAAUACACUUCCAAACCACCCUUAACGGAAGCAAAUUACACUAAGUGACAGAAAUUUUACAAAAAAAAAUGAUGCUGUAGAAAUGAAAAAAUCAUGCUGCUAUUUGUAACCGAAAAUACCAUAAGAGUAUUUUUGGUAUUUUGAUAAAAUUACUGGAUGCCCCAACAAAAAUGCUGGUGCCUCAAGCAUUCCCAACAAAUAAUCAAUGUGUACAUAGAUGGUCUAUGGGAGGAAGGGAUGUGCGGCCUAAUGAAGGAAUGCUAGGUAAUGCUUGAGCAGCAUUCUAUAAUAGGUGCAGGGGGAGUGUGGGAAAACCAAUUAGUAUAGUCAUUUUGGGGAUUAGGAACUUGUUCCUCCGGGUAGCAGGUAAAUUCCUCUGGUUGUGUAGCUGUUUUGGGUCCAUCUCUUAAUACCUUAUAGUUUGCGUUUUGAUUUUCAAUCUAUCAAAAUGAUUUAGUGGCAGCAACUCGAUAAAAUAGAAGGGUGGAAUCUGUUGAGGUGAGAAAGGAUCAGUUAAGGCAUUAUGGAGGAUGCAAUGAGGGGAGCCCAUUAGAACGUUAGGCUAUCUAUCUUAAAACAAGAUGGAAGUAUGGAGGAUUAUGUGAUAUGUUUUAAAGUCUUGAUAUGGAGUUGCCAAAACACUAGGUUCUGAGUUAUUUACUUGGGGGAUUAAAAGAGGACAUUAAGACAAGGAUCAUAACAUACCAACAUUGUUGAAUAAUGCAGGCUAUUGAGCUGGCGAGGAGCAUUGAAAAGGAAUAGCGUGUGAAGUGAGGAUGUUCAACGCCAAUGAAACUGCUGACAAUUGGGCACUCAGUAAGAAGAUUGGGCUAUUCUAUUUGUGUUCAUACUCAUACUCACGCAGGCAAUUGGAUCUUUUAGUGGGAAGUUGGGCCUUGGGUCAAUGCUGCAAGGAACCUCCAUGCCCAACACAACUUGACCCAGCUCUAUAUCAUAACUGCAAAGUUCCUCAACCUAGAAGUGCACUAUUGUUGACAGCAUCCACUAAGCCUCCAAUCCAUUUAAUAGGAACAAAGGCAUAAAGCACGUUCCCUACACUAACUAAAUGAAAUGCAAUGGGUUCUGUUUCAGACAUGGGGAUGCGUACACCCUGUACAUCAAUACCAAGAGAGAAGUCUGCGAUAGAACAACCUAGUAAAAGAGAGGGAAUAGUGAAGAACGCUUAAACCCUUAUGAACCCCACAUUGGAAUUACAUACUUCCGAUAUGGGACUGUACCUUGCAAUUGAAUCCUAACAAGCUGACAAUCAUGUUGUUAUGCAAAGAUGAAGAGGGAACUAGGAAGCAAAAACCCCAACAAGGACACCAGACAAGAUGCAAAAACAAACACUUUGAGAUUGGGACAUUAUGCAUGUGCUCUCAUGCAUGCAUGUGUAAGUGAGAGAAAGAGAAUCAAACGAAAUUAAAUUUUGACAUCAUGACAAUAGAUCUAAAUUGAGAAUCAAGAUUGUAUAUUCACCUUCUCAAAAUAAAUUGUUAAGCCUUUACAUUUUUCUUAUGAUAACAACAACAACAACAACAACGCCUUAUCCCACUAGGUGGGGUCGGCUACAUGGAUCAACUUCCGCCAUAAUGUUCUAUCAAGUACCAUACUUCUAUCCAAACCAUUAAUUUUGAGAUCCUUUUUGAUAACCUCUCUUAUAGUCUUUUUGGGUCUUCCUCUGCCUCGAAUUGUUUGUCUUCUCUCCAUCUGGUCUACUCUCCUCACUACAGAGUCUACCGGUCUUCUCUCUACAUGCCCAAACCACCUAAGUCUAUUUUCCACCAUCUUCUCUACAAUAGGCGCUACUCCAACCCUCUCUCUAAUAGCUUCGUUUCUAAUUUUAUCCUGUCGAGUCUUACCACACAUCCACCGCAACAUCCUCAUCUCCGCUACACCUACUUUAUUCUCAUGUUGGCUCUUGACCGCCCAACAUUCUGUUCCGUACAAAAUCGCCGGUCUUACCGCAGUCCGAUAAAACUUUCCCUUUAGCUUGAUCGGUACCUUUGCAUCACAUAACACCCCCGAUGCUUUUCUCCAUUUCAUCCAUCCUGCUUGAAUGCGAUGAUUCACAUCCCCUUCAAUUUCCCCAUCAUCCUGUAUUACAGACCCAAGAUAUUUAAACCGUAUGACUUGAGGGAUAAUAUGGUCUCCUAUUUUCACCUCUGAGUUAGAAACCCUCCUUCUUUUGUUGAACUUACAUUCCAUAUACUCCGAUUUGCUUCUGCUUAGGCGAAAGCCAUGUGUUUCUAGAGCUCGUCUCCAAGUUUCCAACCUCUCAUUCAACUCCUCCCUCGACUCUCCAAGGAGGACUAUGUCAUCUGCAAAAAGCAUGCAUCUCGGCGCUAUCUCUUGGAUUUGUUCCGUGAGGACAUCCAGAAUUAAGGUAAAAAGGUAGGGGCUAAGGGUUGACCCUUGAUGUAAACCAAUUGUGAUGGGAAAAUCGUCUGACUCUCCACCCUGUGUCCUAACACUAGUCGAUACCCUAUCAUACAUAUCUUGGAUAGCUCGAAUAUAUGCAACCCUAACCCCUUUCUUCUCUAGAGCUUUCCACAAAAUCUCUCUAGGCACUCUAUCAUACGCUUUCUCCAAGUCAAUAAAAAUCAAGUGCAAGUCUUGUUGGGCCAUGCGAUAUUGCUCCAUCACCCGCCGUAAUAAAUAAAUCGCUUCCAUGGUCGACCUUCCCGGCAUGAAACCAAAUUGAUUCUCAGUAACUUGAGUCUCCUUUCUUAAUCUCCGUUCGAUCACUCUUUCCCGUAAUUUCAUGGUAUGACUCAUGAGCUUGAUUCCCCUAUAAUUUGCACAAUUUUGUAUAUCCCCAUUGUUCUUAUAGAUUGGCACUAACGUGCUUCUCCUCCAUUCCUCCGGCAUGCGUUUUGACCUCAUAAUUUCGUUAAAGAGUUCGGUGAGCCACUCAAGACCUCUAUCUCCAAGAGUUUUCCACACUUCAAUAGGUAUGUGGUCUAGCCCCACCGCCUUACCAUUACUCAUUCUUUUCAACGCUUCCUUUACUUCCUAUUUCUGAAUCCGACGAUAGUACUUAUAGUUCCGGUCCUCUUCUCUUGUGUCUAGACUGCUAGAGUCAUAUCCAUAUCCAUCAUUAAAUAAGUUGUGGAAAUACGUCUUCCACCUUUCCUUGAUAUCUUUUUCAUGCACUAAGACUUUGCUUUCUUCAUCCUUAACACACUUUACUUGAUCCAAAUCUCUAGUCUUCCUCUCUCUACCCUUAGCAAGCCUAUAUAUAGAUCUUUCUCCGUCCCUGGUUCCUAGAGCUUGGUAUAGUCCGUCAAAAGCUUGGGCUCUUGCCUCACUCACCGCCUUUUUGGUUUCAUUUCUAGCUAUCUUAUACUUAUCCCAAGUUUCAGAAUUUCUACACCUAGACCACUCCUUGAAACACUCCUUUUUUACUCUAACUUUGCUCUGAACAUUUUCAUUCCACCACCACGAUUCUUUACCCCUAGGUCCAAAACCUCUAGAUUCACCCAACGUCUCUUUAGCCACUUUAAUAAUCUUUUGAGACAUCUUGUUCCACAUAUCAUUUGCACUUCCUUGUGAUUGUCCACACCAACCCUCCCAUAUCUUUUGUUGGAAGAUUCCUUGUUUCUCACCCUUCAAGUGCCACCAUUUGAUCCUUGGUGCUACCAGAGGACUUCUUCUCUUUGCCCUAUCUCUAAUUCUUACAUCCAUAACCAAAACUCUAUGUUGGGUAGUCAAGCUCUCUCCCGGGAUAACUUUACAGUUCAAGCAAUACUUCCUAUCAGACUUCCUGAUAAGGAAGAAAUCUAUCUAAGAACAUGUCCCUCCACUUUUGUAAGUGAUAAGAUGUUCCUCUCUUUUCUUAAACCAUGUAUUGGCUAUAGAAAGAUCCAAAGCCUCUGAAAACUCCAAGAUGGAUUUACCCUCCCCAUUCAUCUCUCCUAGGCCAAAACCCCCAUGCACCCCCUCAAAACCUCUAGCCACGCUACCUACAUGUCCAUUGAGAUCCCCUCCUAGGAAAACUUUCUCUCCUUAGGGUAUAUCCUGAAGUACCCCUUCUAGAUCCUCCCAAAAUUUUACCUUAAAGUGUUCUACUAACCCAACCUGAGGUGCGUACCCACUAAUAACAUUAAAGGUGUCCUGUCCCACUACCAAUUUUAAGACUAUGAUACGAUCUCCUACUCUUCUUACAUCCACGACAUCCUUCUUCCACUCCUUGUCCACAAUAAUCCCUACCCCAUUUCUUGAUCUGAUUUUUCCCGUAUACCACAGCUUAAAUCCCGAGUUGUCUAAUUCUUUCGCUUUUUCACCUGUCCACUUAGUUUCUUGUAGGCACAUAAAAUUGAUCUUCCUCCUCACCAUAACAUCCACUAUUUCCAUAGAUUUUCCAGUAAGUGUGCCUAUAUUCCAUGUACCAAAGCGAAUCCUCCUGUCAUGAACUAGCUUCUUUACCCACACCCGUUCACGAAAAUGUGGGAACCCUUGCUUACUUUUCACUACAUCCGGGCGGCGAUGCAGCGGCCCUUGCUCUUUUGACACUGUACUCGAGCCAUACAGCGCGUUGCUUCCGGGCAACGACCUAGCAUUCACAUUAUUACGUAAUUGAUCCAUGUCAUAGAGAUUCGACAAAGUUUAACGUUGGCUGUCGAAAGCCUAACACAACCCUCUCCUUUUAUCCGGGCUUGGGACCGGCUAAGAAUAGCAAAGCUACCCUAGGCAGGAUUUUUUCUUAUGAUAACAAACCUCACAAAAAAGUACUAAGUUGAAUCAAUGUAAGCACUUUAUUUCUUUAUAAAGAAAUCCCAAAACAAGAUAAAAUUUAUCUUUCAGAAAAGGUAUAUUCACCUUCUCAAAAUAACUUGCUAAGGUUCUCAUUUUUCCUAUGACAAUGGGCCUCACAACUUCUCUCAAGGAAGGAUCAAGGAUACAAGGAGCAAUGUGAGCUUUACCCAAGACCCUUGCAUGGUACAUGUCCUGAAUAUCUUAUAGGGGUAUUUUCCUAAAUGGGUUAAAGGAAGAGUCAAGGGUGAAUUGAAAGGUGCCUAGUGGAAUACCAAAGAUGAUGAAUUAUGCCCUGUAGAAAGAUGAUAGGAGUUGGAUAUUAAAUGGGGGGAUUUUCAGGCAGUGAAGGAAGGGCUAUAUAUAGAAGUUACACAUCAUACAAAACAACAUAUGAAUUGCUUUCUGGGAAACUUGUAGGAACCAACCCAAAAGAAGGUUCAGUGAUGAAUUCUGCAACUGGCAGAAACAAAUGGUACUUUGACAAGCCAAGAGAGUUUAAGAGAUAUGUUGAUGCAUAAAUGCAGUUGAAUUUCAUCUUGAUGACAAGGUCAAACUUUUGGUAGUGGGGAGUGUUGUUUGAGAUCAUGAUAAUUAUAAAGGGAGAGGGGACAAUUCACAUGUAUAAUUAAAAAUAAAAAGGAAGAUGGAGAGUUAGCUAGGAUAGUUAUAUGAUUUGGUUUUGUUUGAAGGCUUUCGCUUAGUUUGUUUCACUUAUUUGGUUUUUCUUUCGUGUUAAUUAGUGACAGGAUAUUUAACUAAGAUCAGUUGUGGACUUCUCAGUCCCAACUUUGACUAGUUCCAUUUAUGUAUUCAACUAUCAAAGAAUCAACCAAUCUAAAAGAGAUUCAAAAAUAUUCACAUAUUAAUAAGUUAGAGAUAACAUAUCAGUUAGGGAGAUUGGUUGCUAAUGGCUGAGUGUCUGUGCUCCUGUUGCAGGGCUGACAUGGAGGAUUGACAUGUGCCUUAGAGUGCCAUGUAGGGUGCCACGUGUAUUUUGUGGACCAUGGAUAGUACAUCAGCCCCCCAAGCUCUGAGUUGGCUUGUGGGCAAAAGAGAUUUUCUGGUGUCGAAGAAAAGUAUUUGAUGUUUGUGGUUGUUGUCUUGACAAGUAGAGAGCGACUAGUUUGUCGAGCCCCCAAGUGUGGACGAGUGUUUGUCCGAUGUUGGGUGUGGUAACCUCGACAGGUGAGAGAAUUUCAGGUCGAUGUGGCUUGUCAAGCCCCCGAGCCUAGACAAGUGUUGUCUAGACAGCUUCUAUCAAGUUGUCUGGGAUGGACAUGUCUUUGACGUGUCAGGUGAGGAAAGUCUAUAGAUUUGAUAAUUUUACCCUUUUCUGACCGUUGGAAGGGUGCAUUGAAGACAUACAUUAUGUUUUGUCUGCUGCUACAAGCAUCUGCGGCACACAUGCAGUACUCUUGCAUACGUGUCACUCAUGGAGUGGGUACCUACUGGAGUUGUGAUGCGUGGGUGAGUGGGGGUGCAUCGUGGUGCGAAAAUUUAGGGCACCACUUAUGCUCCCACCAGUUACCGAAAAGUUUGUCUUCCUUUCAAAUGGAGUGAACAUUUGAUUUUGGGUCACCGUUACUUUGAGCUAUUGUUUCCUUGCCUUCUGCUUGCGAUCCCUUUUCUUUUUCCUUCACUUUCUUGCGAUCCAUUUUCUUCUUCCUUCACCUCUACGAUGAGUGUCGCUGCUCUUUAACGUUAGGUGAUGCUGGCAAGCCUUGAGAACUCUUGCAAGAUAGUCGUUCAAGCUUGCGGGAGUGAUGACUUUCCCUUCUUGAGGGCGACGUCGAGUAGUCCCCCCUUCUUCUUUAUUUAUAGGUGUCUGUUAGAGGUCUUGGGUCUCAUUCUCCUCUUGACCACUUUCUAGUGUGCUCUACUUGAGCACUUGAAUGUGGUUCCUUCUCAGCUCCACCCAAACAAUUGGGCAAUGGUGAGAGCUUUUGAAAUUUUAUGCCUUUUCUUCAACAUCCAGCCUAUUGUACCAGUCUUUUUGUUUUUCUUUCAAAUGAAACUAACUAGCAAGAUUGAUUGGGUCUUAUUGAAAAACAUGUCCAAGAAGUUAUUUGAGUUCGACUCAAACAUCUUUCGCCGCUUUAAGGAUCGUUUCUUUAAGGUCGUGGUUAAUGGUUUGCCACUAAUGUUCAAUAAGGAUGGGGAGUCCCACUUCCCGUUCUACUGGCAGUUUAACCCUACCAGGCUCAAGUCAUUUGAUGAAGAUCUGUUGACCCUUGUGGAGAGGUUCGACAAGGCUAUUUUGGAGCAAUUGUCGGUCUCGCUGGACUCGCAGGCCAUUCUGUCACUUUCCUCAGUGAACGUCCCCAUGCUGCCUUGGACUGUAAAGUGCUUAACCUUGUCCUUUUUUGUGUUUGAGGUUGGUGUUGGCCAAAACUAACACUUGCUUGUGAUGUUGUUGCUUAUUUUGCAGGUAUUAUGGGUGACUUUGCUUGGAGGCAACUCAUGAAGCAGGUGUUAGUCGCUAUUCAUGGUUUUUUUUUUUGUAGGAAUUGUACAUAUUUUUAUGUUUAAUGUGAUUUUAUAGAGUAGAUACUCUCAUUCUGUGAAUUAAUGUUAAAUCCAACUCAAUUUUAGGCCAAAGAAAAGAAGGUUCAAGUAGCUUAUGACUCGCUUAGCAAGGCAGAUCCGCUCAGCGAGUGACAUCUGCUUAGCGAGGCAUACAACUUGCUUAACGGGUUGGGAAACCCUAGAAGAGGAUCAAUCAAAGAUGUGCUCACCCAGCGCACAGCCAGCUCGCCCAGCGAGGACGUUGUCUCUGUUGGCGCUCAUCGCGCCCAGUCUCGCUAAGCCAAAAUUCACUUACUCUCGCUUAGCGAGCCUUCGGAAGCUGAAAAGUCUAAGAGCCUUUAUAACACUGAGGUUGGCAAAAUUUCAUGGGAGAGAGUUUAGAGAGCGCAUUUUUUGAAGAACAGAAGACAGAAAGAGAGUAGCAAAGAGAGCUUAGGUUAGAAGGAGUGAAGUUUAAGGGUUUAAAGGUUGUAGGAGACAUCCUCAACCAUCUUUUGCCAUUUUCUUUCACUCGAAGCUAUUCCUUCCUUGUAUUGUGAGAUUGCAUUGCUUGUAAUGGAAGGCUAAUCCUCUUUGUUGGGGAGUUCUGCUGAAAAACCUUGAUGUAACAUUCUUACACUAUCUAUUUAAUGUUAUUUUUAUGUGUUCAUUGCUUCUAUCUAUGCUUAUUUUACAUGCUUGUGGCUUGAUCAUCCAUUUGUAUGUACAGUUAGGAUUUUUAGCAUUGGGAAAUGCUUUAAAGCCUUAGAACUUGGUAGAGCAAUUUAGAAAUCUAUAUGUCUAGGAAUGGAGUGCAGUGAUCUAGUCCAUAUUAUGCUGUAGGCUUAAUGCAACUCUUUUAGACUAAGUUUGUUGAGGGAUUAAAGACGAAGUUUAAAGAGAGUUAGGCUCAUUCACUAGAGGGAUCUUGGUUUGAGUAGGUUCUCAGCAUAAGAACACUAGGAUAAUGUUAAAUAGAGAAAAAUAUGUAUUAAACAUUAAGGGAAAUUCAGUAGAACAACUCAAGGCUUUUUACUUGAUAGUUUUCACCUUCAUGAUUUUAGAUAUUUAGUUUAUGUUCAAAUAGAUUUUAGUACAGAAUCCAACUUGAUAUUUACCUUGUUUUUAAUCCCUACAAAUGUUUGCAUACUGAAUGUACAAUGUCUGAGUGAAACAAAUUCCCUGAGGAUACGAUACUCGGUCUUACCGUUUUGUACUACUUGAGCGAAUCGGUACACUUGCCGACUAGCGAACAGCAGGUCGAACCUGUGGGUGAGACUGUGUCACCGUUUUCUACUAUUCCUAUUGUUGGAGAAAAAGGUCAACCUAUUGGUAAGGUUGUCCCUAUUGCUGCUCUGAGGUCACCUCUGGUGCCUCUUCUUUUGUUUUGGCAAAGAGAAAAUAAGAUGACGGUGUUGGGCCGUCUGGCCAAAAAAAGUCGAAGACCUAUAUGAACCUUCGAGCCCUGAGGCAGGCUGUAGGGUUGGCGCUCGAUGUGGGUCACCCUUCAAUUAUGCAGGGUGUGCCUCCGGCUUCAUCGACCAUCGAGGUUCCUAUUGUUGAUGCUGCUACUCCUAUUCCUUCAUCUCAUUCUGUCGUGGUUGUUCGGGAGACUGCUUGUUAGUCGUCAUUUACAACUAACUUUUGUAUUGAAAAGCUUCAUGAAAUUUAUAUCUUUUCCCCAAUUUAUGGUUCUUUUUGUAGGUUUGUACAUAUUUUUUGUUUAGUUUAAUUUUACUAAGUAGAUACUCCCAAUAUUAUGAAUUAAUGUGGUUCAACUUCAGUUUCAGGCUAAAGGAUGAAGAAGAAGAAGGUUGAAGAAGUUGUUGUCUCGCUAAGCGAGGCAUAUGUGCUUAGUGAGUAAUAUUCGCUAAGCGAGACAUUCAGCUCGCUUAACGAGUGGGAAGAAUUUGGAAGAGAAUCUUUAGCUCGCUCAACGAGUCAUUUGUCUUUUCUCUUGCUCAGCACGCCCAACUCGCUGAGCGAAAAUCCACUAACUCGCGCUUAGCAGGAAAAUGGCACUAAGUGAGCCUUCAGAAUCAAAAAGCCCUUAAAAGACUAAAGUUGGCAAAAAAAAUAAGGGGAGUUCAGUGAGUUUUUGUGAAGAGAGACGUAACAGAGCAAGAGAGAAAAACUUGAACGAAAGGCCUCAACUUUCAAGAAGAUUUUAGGUUUAGGAGUGAUUGUUAGGUUUCUAGAGGUGGAGGAGACAUCCCCACAACUUUGUAAUCUUAAUUUUCCCUCAAAAACUUUAUCUUGGUGCGGAAAGGUGCUAACAUGCAAUGGAAGGCUAAUUCUCUUGUUGGGAAUUUCUGCUUAGCUUUGAUGUAAAACUUUUCACUAUCUAUUUAAAGUUGUUUUUAUGUGUUCAUUGCUUCUAUCUGUAUGUAAUUCUUGCGUGCUUGUGGCUUGAUCAUCCAUUUGUGUGUAAAGUUAGGAUUUUUAGCAUUGGAAAGUGUUUUAAAUCAUUAGAACUUGAUAGAGCAGGCUAGAGAACUGUAUGUCUGGACACGGAAUGCAGGGAUUUAGUUUAUAAUAUGUCGUAAUCUUAAUGCAAAUCAUUUAGGCUAAGUUUGACGAGGAAUCUAGAACGAAUCUUAAAUAGAAUUAGACUCAUUCACUAGAGGGAUAUUGGUUUGAGUAGUCAUUUUCGGCAUAGAACACAGAAACAACCUUAAAUAGAGAAAAACACUUAAUUACGUCAUUUUGUUCAGUAGAAGGACCCAACGUUUGAAUCAUCUGUUUAUCUCUCACAUUUAGAUAGUUAAUUUUGUAGUUAAAUUAGAACUAUAGACAUAACUUCUCUUUAUAUUUACUAGCUUUAUACAAAUGCUUACCUACUGAAUGAAUGCUCCCUAAAUGAAACAAGUUCCCUAUGGACUCGACACUCGGUCUUACCAUUCUAUAUAUUACUUGUGCGACUCGGUGCACUUGCCGAUUAGCAUCACUGACCAGUGAAACAAGUAUUUUAGCGAGAAGCGAACAAAGUUUUUGGCGCCGUUGCCGGGGAACUUCUUUCCAUUUGGGAAGUAUAGUUCAGUUUGUAGGCAUUGAUUCUUUAUUCUUUGAUUAAUUUUUGUGUGAAUAGUUAGCUGAAAUUUAUUUUUCUCUUGAUUAGGUUGACUGCUGCUCUUGUUAGUGUUUUGUAUGCGAGGUAACCCUUCUACAGGUGAUUUAGCUUCAUUGGAUUUGGAGAUAGAAGCCACUUGUAGGAGGAACAACAUAGAUAGAAGAAGGAAAAUACUGCAGGACAAGACAACACCACCAAUUCCAGAGGAACCUCAAUCAUUUGAGUCGUCUUCUAUUUUUCCAGAGCCAAGAGAAUUAGAAAUAGGUGCAUCUGAGGCUAACAUAAUGGUUGAAGAUCAAUCUAGGAGGGUUACCCUUGAAGAUUACUCUAGCUCGACUAUGCCACAAUUCUUCAUAAAUAUAGUGUGGCCAAAAGUUCAAGCACACAACAUUACAUACCCUCACUCCUUAAUACAGUUAAUUCAGGGAAAUCUAUUUCAUGGCUUGCCGAACGAAGACACAUAUGCACACUUGGCAACAUACAUUGAGAUUUGCAAUACAUUCAAGUUUGUCGGUGUUCUUGAGGACGCAGUGAGGCUGAGUUUGUUAUCUUUUUCAUUGUUUGGAGAAGCAAAGAGAUGGUUACAUUCAUUUAAGGGAAACAGUCUAAAGACUUGGGAUGAAGUGGUGGAGAAAUUUUUGAAGAAAUAUUUCCCUGAGUCUAAGAUAGUUGAAGGAAAAGCAGCCAUCUCUUCAUUUCACCAGUUUCCGGAUGAGUCUCUAAGCGAAGCACUUGAACGAUUCCGUAGCCUGCUGCGGAAAACACCGACUCAUAGAUUCUCAGAACCAAUUCAGCUCAAUAUUUUUAUAAAUGGGUUAAGGCUGCAGUCCAAUCAACUGUUGGAUGCUUUUGCUGGGGGGAAGAUCAAAUUGAAGACCCCGGAAGAAGCCAUGGAACUCAUUGAAAACAUGGCUACAAGUGAUCAUGCCAUCUUGCGUGAUUGGACUCACAUUCCAACAAAGAGAAGCCUGCUGGAGCUUUCCUCUUAAGAUGCAUUAUUGGCACAAAACAAGUUGUUGUCUAAGCAGCUUGGACAUUGACAGAAACAUUGAGUAAGUUGCCUAAUCAAUUACAGGUUAAUCAACCUUCACAUUCAGUUGUUUUGCAGGUUGGAGGUUGCAGCAUAUGCGGAGGAGCUCAUGAAUCUGGACGCUGUAUUCCCCUGGAUGACACAUCCUAAGAGGUAAAUUACAUGGGAAACCAAAAUAGGCCAGGAUUUAAUGCAGGUGGAUAUGCAGGUUACCAACAAGGUUCCAAUUAUUACCAACAACCUUGGAAAUCAGUUCAACAAGGACCAAGGCGGAUCAUCUAAUAGGCCUCAGAACCAAGGGCCUAGCCUCUAUGAUAGAACCACCAAACUGGAGGAGACUUUAGCUCAAUUUAUGCAGGUUACAAUGUCAAAUCAUAAGAGCACCGAGUCUGCCAUUAAAAACCUGGAGAUUCAAGUGGGGCAGCUAGUCAAGCGAAUAACAGAGAAUUCUUCUAGCAAUUUUGGAGCAAACACUGAGAAGAAUCCAAAGGAAGAAUGCAAAGCUAUCAUGACGAGGAGCAGAAAGGAAAACCUGGUUGAGGAUGAGGGAAGGAUUAGUGACAAGCAAGAGCUUGUGAUUGAAGAAGGAGAAAAAGAGGAAGAAGAGGAUCAGUUGAUGGAGAACAAAAUAUAUGAUUGUGAGAAAUAAAUAAAUAAAGAAAAAGAAAAAGAAAAAGAAAAAAAAUGAAAAAAAUAGAGAAAGUGAGGGAGAAAGGAAGACAAAGAGUGAGCUUGCAAGAGAAAAGAAGAAAGAGGUUGUCUCAUGUACUGGGAAGGAAGCACCAUACCCUCUGGUGUCAUCAAAGAAAGAAAAGGAGCGACAUCUGGCUUGUUUCCUUGACAUCUUCAAGAAAUUGGAGAUAACCAUUCCCUUUGGAGAAGCCCUAUAGCAAAUGCCACUCUAUUCUAAGUUUUUGAAAGAUCUGCUGACCAGAAAGAGCAAAUACAUCCAUAGUGAUAACAUUGUGGUGGAAGGGAACUGUAGUGCGGUGAUUCAAAGAAUCCUUCCACCUAAGCAUAAGGAUCCUGGGAGUGUUACUAUUCCUUGCUCUAUUUGUUCGGUGUCGUUUGGUAAAACUCUCGUUGAUUUGGGGUCCAUUAUAAAUUUGAUGUCUCUCUCCAUGUGCAGCAAAAUUGGAGAGUUGGAGAUUAUGCCAACUACAAUGACACCACAACUUGCAGAUCGGUCUAUUACAAGGCCUUAUAGCGUAAUUGAAGAUGUUUUGGUUAAGGUGCAGCAUUUUACUUUCCCUGCGGAUUUUAUUCUGAUGGAUAUUGAAGAGGACGCUGAAAUUCCCUUAAUUUUGGGUUAUCCCUUCAUGUUAAUCGCCGAUUGUGUGGUGGAUAUGGGAAAGGGUAAGCUAGAAAUGAGCAUGGAUGACCAAAAAGUCACAUUUAACUUAUUUGAGGCAAUGAAGCACCCAGAUGAUCACAAGGCCUGUUUUAAAGUAGAAAAAGUGGAACAUGAGAUAGAUAUGGUAGCUAGAGCCAUGGUACUGUAGUCCCUACUUGAAAAAGCAUUGAAUAACACUAUAGAAGGUCUGACAAUAGAAGAAGAAAAAGAAGUGCAGACCUAUUUGGAGGAAUUAGAAGGUGUAAAGAAGGACAAUCCAGCGAAAAAGGAUAAAGUGGAGUUGAAGACCCUUCCUGAACACCUGAUGUAUGUAUUUAUAGGAGAAAAUGAAACCAAUCCGGUGAUCAUCAGCAGUUCUUUGAGGAAGGAAGAGGAGGCUCAGCUGGUGAAGGUUUUGAAGAAACAUAAGGCAGCCAUUGGAUGACACAUUUCUGACUUGAAAGGAAUCAACCCAUUUUACUGUAUGCAUAAGAUCAAUAUGGAAGCUGACUAUAAGCCUGUAAGACAGCCACAAAGAAGACUUGAUCUAGUUAUGAAAGAGUAAAUGAGGAAGGAAGUGCUUAAAUUGCUAGAAGCAGGGCUCAUUUAUCCCAUGUUAGAUAGUUCUUGGGUUAGUCCUGUGCAGGUGGUUCCCAAGAAAGGAGGCAUGACAGUUAUUAGGAAUGAGAAGAAUGAUUUAAUUUCCACAAGAACUAUCAUUGGCUGGAGGAUGUGUAUUGACUACAGAAAAUUGAAUGACGCCACCAGAAAAGAUCACUACCCACUUCCAUUCAUGGAUCAAAUGCUUGAGAGGCUAGCAAGGCAAUCAUUAUAUUGCUUUUUAGAUGGAUAUUUUGGCUACAAUUAAAUUGCAGUAAACGUAAUGACCAAGAGAAGACAAUAUUUACCUUCCCCUUUGGUGUGUUUGCCUAUAAGCGAAUGCCUUUUGGCCUUUUCAAUGCUCCUGCAACUUUUCAAAGUGUAUGAUGGCAAUCUUUGCCGACAUGGUGGAGAAAUGUAUAGAAGUAUUUAUGGACGACUUCUCUGUCUUUGGCUCCUCUUUUAACUGUUGUCUAUCCAAUCUAGAGAGAGUAUUGCAAUGGUGUGAAGAAACCAACUUGGUGCUUAAUUGGGAAAAAUGUCAUUUUAUGGUGCAAGAAGGCAUUGUGUUUGGUCAUAAAAUUUCUGCAAGGGGGAUUGAAGUAGAUAAAGCAAAGACUCAUGUGAUCAAGAAGCUGCCCCCUCCGGUAAAUGUUAAGGGAGUAAGAUGUUUUCUUGGGCAUGUUGGGUUCUAUAGGCGAUUUAUAAAGGAUUUCUCAAAGAUUGCCAAACCGCUCAGCAAUUUGCUUAACAAGGAUGCUGUGUUUUUGUUUAAUGAAGAUUGUUUGAAAGCAUUCAACACUCUCAAGACUAGUCUAGUGUCCGCUCCCAUCAUUACAGCGCCUAAUUGGGGCCAAGAAUUUGAGCUAAUGUGUGAUGCAAGUGAUUAUGUUGUAGGUGUUGUCUUGGGCCAGAGGAAAGGCAAAGUAUUCCAUGCUAUUUACUAUGCUAGCAAAGUUUUGAAUGAUGCUCAGAUCAAUUAUGCUACCAUAGAGAAAGAAAUGUUAGCAAUAGUUUAUGCAUUGGAGAAAUUCAGGUUAUACUUGGUGGGAUCGAAAGUUAUCAUCUAUACUGAUCAUGCAGCCAUCAAGUAUUUGCUAAAUAAAGCUGAUUCCAAGCCUCGGUUAAUUAGAUGGAUUUUAUUACUUCAGGAGUUCGAUCUAGUUAUCAAAGACAAGAAAGGCUCUACAAAUCUGGUAGCCGACCACUUGUCAAGACUGGUUAAUGAGGAGGUGACUUUGAAAGAGCUAGACAUAAGAGAUGAAUUUCUCGAUGAAUCCCUGUUCAUGAUAAAUGAGAGACCUUGGUUUGCUGACUUGGCUAACUUCAAAGCAGUUGGAAUUAGCCCUAAGGAUUUGACUUGGCAGCAAAGGAAGAAAAUCCUACAUGAUGCUCGUUUUUACAUCUAGGAUGAUCCACAUUUGUUCAAGGUUGGUGCUGACAAUCUUCUGAGAAAGUGUGUAACAAAGGAGGAAGCCAAGAGCAUAUUAUGGCAUUGCCACAAUUCACCAUGUGGAGGACAUUAUGGUGGAGACAAAAUAGUAGCUAAGGUCCUACAAUCAUAAUUCUUUUGGCCAACACUCUUCAAGGAUGCCUAUCAACAUGCACUACAAUGUGAUCAAUGCCAGAGAAUGGGAGGAAUUUCCAAAAGAAAUGAAAUGCCCCUGUAGAACAUAAUGGAAGUGGAAAUCUUUGACUGUUAGGGAAUCGACUUUGUAGGUCCCUUUCCCCCAUCCUUUGGCAAUGAAUAUAUUCUCGUAGCUGUGGAUUAUGUCUCCAAGUGGGUAGAAGCAGUGGCUACCCCAAAGGAUGAUGCCAAAACUGUAGUAAAGUUCUUGAAGAAGAACAUAUUUGCUAGGUUUGAGGUGCCUCGGGUCCUAAUCAGUGAUGGUGGCUCUCAUUUUUGCAAUAGCUAGUUGCAGAAGGUGCUAGGCUAUUAUAAUGUCACACACAAAGUAGUUUCACCCUAUAACCCUCAAACAAAUGGCCAAGCAAAAGUCUCCAACAGGGAAUUGAAGAAAAUCUUGGAGAAGACUGUGGCUUCAACUCGGAAGGACUUGGCAAACAAGUUAGAUGACGCAUUAUGGGCAUACAAAACUGCUUUCAAGACCCCUAUAGGCCUAUCUCCAUUCCAAAUGGUUUAUGGGAAAUCCUGUCACUUAUUGGUGGAAAUGGAACAUAAGGCAUAUUGGACCUUAAAAUUUCUGAACUUUGAUGGGGGUUGCAUCAAGGGAAAAGAGGAGAAAAGAGGAAGAUAAAGCUCUUGGAGUUGGAAGAAAUGAGAUUGAAUGCAUAUGAGUCUUCAAAGUUGUACAAGGACAAAGUGAAGGCUUACCAUGAUAAGAAGUUGCUCAAGAUGGACUUUAGCCCAGGACAACAUGUGAUGUUGUUCAACUCAAGAUUGAAGUUAUUCCAAGGCAAGGUCAAAUCCAAAUGGUCUGGACCAUUUACAAUCAAGGAAGUCAGGCCAUAUGGAGCAAUAGAAUUGUUCGAUCCUCAGUCAGAGACUCCAGAUAGGACAUGGGUAGUAAAUGGUCAGAGGUUGAAGCUUUACCAUGGUGGAAGCAUUGAGAGGUCAACCAUCGUCCUUCAUUUACAAGACACAUGAGGUAAUAUGUGUCAAGCUAAUGACGUUAAGCGAGCGCUUACUGGAAGGCAACCCAACUCUUUUUAUUUUCAUUAAUCAUUGCAUAUAAUUAGGAUCAACUUGUUUAUGAUUGCUUGAGUAAGUCAUCAGCAUGUUUUGCAUAGAGAUAUGGGGUUGUCAAAGCUUCUUUGAAGCUGUGGAUGAAAAAUAACUCAGAAAAUUUUUCAGUCAUCCACUCACUCAACGUGCCCUGUGCACUAAGCAAAUCAUCAUGCAUGCGCUGAGCGAGUCAUUACUCGCGCUAAGCGCAUCAACCCCUACCCAUUGGAUGAUGGGGUCUCGCUAAGCGAGCCUUGUGCACUAAGCCUAAAAACCUCUUUGAAAUUGCAUUUAAUGGAAUUGGGCUAAGUGAGUCAUCUCGCUAAGCGCACAACAUAGUCUCGCUAAGCGAAACUUUGCGCUAAGCGCAAUUCCUUCUCUGUCUGGACCAUCAUGUGAAUUGGGCCCAGCGGGUCAGCCCGGUAAGCCCAAAUCCCUCUCGGGUAUGGAAUUGCGCUAAGUGAGACGGUCUCGCUAAGCGUGCCCCACUACUACAUUAGGAAGCAUUUAAUUCGCUAAGCGGGCACCUAUCCCGCUAAGCGAAAGUUGCAGACCAAUCAAAGCUGCAGAUCAUGCUAAGUGCAUACCUUUCGCGCUAAGCCCAAAUCCUUCUCGGGUUUUCUAAUUUUCGAAUUAGGCUGAGCGAGUCUAUCAUACUGAGCACGUGAAUUUAAAAUCUGAAAAUUCAAAAGUCACUGAGUGCUUGCUUAGUGAGUCACUCGCACUAAGCGAGACAGUUGAAACUGCCAAAAAUAAGACUUAACUGCUCUGGGCAGUUUCUUUUAUGCAAUUUACAAAUUUCUUCUACUUGCAUCUUUGUCAUUUCUGUACUCAUAUGCACUGCACACUCACUUUCUCUGCUUCUUACUCCCAACUUGCAUUCUCUACUCACUGCAAUCCAAGUAACUACUUCUCACUUUGCCUUUUUAAUUUUCAUUUAUGAACCUUAGGAUAGAAGCCAUGCUUAGGUUUUCAAAGCUUUGAUUAUGUGUUGAUUCUACUGUCAUUAGGGUAGUUAUUAAAAACCAUGUUCUUAGGGGUUUUGUUUCGCACAUAAUGUAUGUUGUUUUGCUGUGAAUUGCUUAGGUUUUGAGGCCUAAUAGAGGCCUAUAGUUGGGGGCUGCAAAGCCCCAAUUUUUUUGGAAUUCUCGAUGUUCUCGCUAUGCGAGCCCGUUCGUUAAGCAAGUUCAUCAAUUCUUGAUGAAUUUCUGGGUUUUUUGAUGAACUCGCUAAGCCAGCCCUGUCCCGCUAAGCGUGUUCAUCAUUUUUGUUUAAAUGUUUGAAUGUAUGUAUGAAAUCGCUAAGCCACUGCACUUUAGCUUAGCGAGUGCUUAAAUUUCCAGAUUUUGUUUUUAUGUUCGUAUGAACUUGCUAAGCUAGCAUAUCACGCUUAGUGAGUUGUGUUGCUUAGGUCAGAGUCAACGAGGUUGUUAGUCUUCUGUUGGUGGCUAAGCAAGUCAGUCUCGCUAAGCCACCAUGCCUCUAUAGCUUGAAUAAGCCUGGGCUAAGCAAGUCAGUCUCGCUAAGCCUAAGGCAAUUUAGUUUUCCGAGUUUUUGUUCAUGUGCUAAGCGAGUUAGUCUCGCUAAGCGCAAUUUCUUCUCUGUUUUGGAAUUAGGCUUAGCAAGCCUGCUCGUUAAGCCAAUUAUGUUCCAGUGGUCAAGUUUGGCUAAGCGCUUGCUGGCGCUAAGCCUGUAUAGUGUGUCACUCUAAGUGAGUCAGUAUCGCUAAGCGCAAUUAGCUCUCUGUCAGAGAAUAAGGCUUGGUGAGCCAUGCUCGCUUAGCCAUUAUGUUGUUUCAGCUAAGCGAGUGUGUCUCGCUCAGCCAAAGUCUGUGUUUUUGUGUUGUCGUGCUAAGCGCGCCCUGUGCGCUAAGCGUGUGCUGUUAUUUUCAUAAGCGAGUCAGUCUCACUAAGUGCCCAGUCUGUUUUUCUGUUUUAUUUUUCUAUUUUCAGUUUGAGAUAAAACCUGUCUAACUUGAUUCCUGUGAUUCUUUUUUGAUGCAGAUGGCCUCCUGGAAAAGGAAAUGCACCGCCUCCCGGCCCUAGGAGCCUUAUGACACUACCAGAUUUAUUUCUGAGGCUACCUAGGAGAGGUAUUCCCAGAAUGUUCACUCUCGGAACAUCCUUCUGGAGAGGAACGUCACUCUUUAUGUCACAGAAUAUGAUGAGUUCCGCUAGGAGCUCGAGAGGCGAUGUUGGCAUAAAGCCUUGACCAGGCAAAUGGAUGGGCAUAUAAUUGAAGCCCUGGUCAAGGAGUUUUAUGUGAAUUUGUAUGAUCCUGAAGACAAAUCCCCCAGGCAAGUCAGAGUGCAGGGGAAGCUAAUCAAGUUUGAUGCCAUCUCUCUUAAUGCCUUCCUGGAGACGCCACCAGUUCUUCAGCCAGGGGAGCAGUACACUUCUUAUUCCAUUUUCUGUUGAUCAUGCCCAAAUCCUUAAGAGCUUGCUUCCAAGCUCUGCAUUCCAGGGCGCGGAUUUGUUUUGAAUGCUGAAGGGGCACCCUGAAAGCUCCUGAGGAAGGACUUGACUACUCUGGCACAGACUUGGAGUGUCCUGUCCUAUUCUAACAUCGCCCCCACCACUCACACGUUCGAUCUGAAUAUAGACCAAGCAAGGUUAGUUUAUGGAUUGGUUAUGCGAAUGGACAUGGACUUUGGCUUGCUCAUCCCAGGCCAGAUCUCACAGAUGGCCCAGUCUAACUCCUAUCGACUUGGCUUCCCAACCCUCAUCACUGCUUUAUGCAUCGCCUAGGGAGUCGUCUUAGAUUCACUAACAUUUGAGUCCCUGAGCCCCGCCAUUAACUUGGCAUACAUCUUGAAGAAUUUUUGGAACCCAGAUGAUCCUUCGAUCACCUUUCCGGGGACCCGUAAGGCUCGGGCUUGGGGACCAUCGAAUGCUUCUGCUCCUUCUUCUUCUUCUUCUUCUCCAGUUCCAGCCCCAUUUUCUUCUGCUCCAAAUUCUACUUAUGCACCUCCAGUACCUUCCGGCCCCUCCGCUCUAAGCUCAGACGCCAUGGUGACGAUGUUGUAGAGCCUUCACCAAGGCUUAUGCCUAGUGAUGCAGAACAUUCAUAACUUGGCUCAGCAUCGACCCAUCAUUAGCAUGGAGGAUUUCAUGGCUCGGGUGGUCUGGCCAGGAGUCCAACCUUCUCCUUUGGGGGGAGGUGAGGCUCCUACAACCCAGGAGCCGCAGCCAGAGGCACAGCCCACGUCGGAGGUCACAUAGGAGGCUACACCAGAGGUCUCACCUGCUGCCACACCACUUGUGGAGGUCUCUUAGGAGGAGGAUGGUGCUGCAGACACCGAUUAUGCAGCUAAUAUGGUAGCAACAUAGAACACUUGGGAUCCCUGGCCCACAGCAGCACAGAAGACAUCUCAGUCAGCUCAGGAUGCUCCUUCCUCACCUUGGGAUGAUCAGAUACCGGUGCAGGAUGAGUGAUGACAGGACUAUCAUUUAUUUUCCUACUUUAGAUACAGUUUUAUGUUUUUAGUUUCAGUUUAUUUAGUUAGCAAAUUUCAAAUCUUCUUGAACAGUUUACAUUCAUUUAUGCAGUGGUUGUUUUGGUUUGGAAUUUCAGUGUUUGUGAAUGAUUUGAAAUUGAUCAAUGGCAUGAAUUAAGUGAAUUGUGAUGAUUAGAUCACGUGCUUUGAAUGAGUAUGCAAUAAUUAGAAGAGAAAGAACAUGAAUUAGGGAUGUGAGUGAAAAUGUUAGUUGGUUUGACAGGUAAAUUGUGAAGGUAAUCAUUAGCCAUAAACUGGUGAGUUGUGUGAACCUUAAUUGUGAGAGAAUGACUAGCAUUGAGUACCGAUUUUUGCAUGAAUCUCUGAAUACUGAAUGAAUGCAUGAAUUUGGAAAUGAUGAAGGUCAUGAUUGAUUGAAAUAGCCACUUAGCUAAAUAGUUUACCUUGUUCAUGAAUGAAUUAUCCUUUGCACCCACGUUGAGUUUAAACUUGAUUGAUUAAAUUGAACCCUGAGCCUGUUGAAGUGUAAUCUCCAUCUACCUUUUCUUAGGUUGUAGGAGAGCAUCAUGGUUCAAAGCAAAUUUGUCCCAAAUUUGGGGGAGGAUGUUGGGUGACAAUAAUUGUGGUAAGACAAAUAACAGCCACACAAAAAUAUCAGAAAGUAGUAAGUAAAAACUGCUAAAAUAAAAAAAAAAAGAAAAAGAAAAAAAGAAAAGAGAAAUUUCAAGAAUAAAAGUAUGUGUGUGUUGUUACUUAAGCUAAGUGCCUUAAAUGUUGAUUGGCAAGUCAGUAGAAGCUGGGAAUAAAAAGAAAAAGAGUUGAUCUAAGGAUGAAUGCUCUCCUAGAACCUAAGUUUUGCAUCCUAGAAAAACCAUGAGUUGUUUGCAGCCUAGCCUCAUUACAAGCCAAGAAAGUCCUUCAGAUUCAAUUUAUGUGUUUGUGAUUGUAUGGCAUGAGAUGAAAUGCAAAAGUUGAGACUUGUGUUGGUUGUUGACUGAAGAAUUGCCUUAAACACUUGUGCUUAUGAGUGAAAUAGUGACAAUGAGGAUUUGGCUUGAUGAACCUUCCUUGAUACCUAUCUUGCUUGCUAGAUUAUUUCACUUGUGUUGCUUAAUAACCAUGUUCAGAUCUUUGAAAUUCUGCAUAUCUUUAUGAGAAGUUGUUGGUUGAAAGCAAUGUUUGCCACUUGUGUUCAUAUGAUUGAAUGCUUUGGAACAAACACAAUUUUUAAUAACCACUGUGAUUUUGUCACUUGAGGACAAGUGAACUGUUCUUUCCUUGCUUGAGGAUAAGCAAAAUUGUAAAUUUGGGGGAGUUUGUUAGUUGUCAUUUAUGACUAACUUUUGUAUUGAAAAGCUUCAUGAAAUUUAUAUCUUUUCCCUAAUUUAUGGUUCUUUUUGUAGGUUUGUACAUAUUUUUUUUUGUUUAGUUUAAUUUUACUUAGUAGAUAUUCCCAAUAUUGUGAUUUAAUGUGGUUCAACUUCAGUUUCAGGCCAAAGGAUGAAGAAGAAGAAGGUUGAAGCAGCUAGUGUCUCGCUAAGCGAGGCAUAUGCACUUAGUGAGUAACAUCCGCUAAGCGAGGCACUCAGCUCGCUUAGCGAGUGGGAAAAAUCUAGAAGAGAAUCUUCAGCUCGCUCAACGAGUCAUUUGUCUCUUCUCUCACUCAGCGUGCCCAGCUCGCUAAGCAAAAAUCCACUAACUCGCGCUUAGCAGGAAAAUGGCGCUAAACGAGCCUUCAGGAUCAAAAAGCCCUUAAAAGACUAAAGUUGGCGAAAAAAUAAGGGGAGUUCAGUGAGUUUUUAUGAAGAGAGACAUAACAGAGCAAGAGAGAAAAGCUUGAACGAAAGGCCUCAACUAAAUUAUGUCUAGACACAGAGUGCAGGGAUUUAGUUUAUAAUAUGUUGUAAUCUUAAUGCAAUUCAUUUAGGCUAAGUUUGACGAGGAAUCUAGAAUGAAGCUUAAAUAGAAUUAGACUCAUUCACUAGAGGAAUCUUGGUUUGAGUAGUCAUUUUCGGCAUAGAAACACAUAAACAACCUUAAAUAGAGAAAAACACUUAAUUACAUCAUUUUGUUCAGUAGAAGGACCCAACGUUUUCAUCAUCUGUUUAUCUCUCACAUUUAGAUAGUUAAUUUUGUAGUUAAAUUAAAACUGUAGACACAACUUCUCUUUAUAUUUACUGGCUUUAUACAACUGCUUACCUACUGAAUGAAUGCUCCCUGAAUGAAACAAGUUCCAUGUGGACUCGACACUCGGUCUUACCGUUUUAUAUAUUACUUGUGCGACUCGGUGCACUUGCCGAUUAACAUUUCUAACCUGUGAAACAAGUAUUUUAGCGAGAAGCGAACACUGCUCUUGUUGUUGCUGAAGUUAGUAUGCCAACUGCUUUGGUUGGUUCUGUUAUGGCACCAUCGUCCACCGUCGCUACACCUUUGUUGAGUGUCGGUGUAGAGACCAUCAGUGCUCUUGUGGUGUCUCCUCCUUCCUCUUCGGCUCCAAUGGUCAUCCCUCCACUGCGUUGGCGGCGACAUCACCUUCUUCGUCUUCUUGUCCCCGUGUCUCCUUGGAUCAUUUGUACACCUUUAGUGAUACUGAUUCACUAUGGGGUACAAGUUACAAGCUGGAGCAGAAGACCCCAAUUGGCUUUGUUUUAGCCUUUGAUAAGAACCUUAUUAGGUCAGCUGGGGUGCAGAAUGCUACGCAUUUUGCCAAAGUUUUUCUUUAGAGAAGUUUGGCGAUUCUGGAGGAGAACGGAUAGUGGCACCAAGAGGCUUUGCAUAAGGUGGCAUCCUUGGAGGCAGAGGUCGCCAAAUGAAGGGCUACUGCUCGCACAGUUUGGAGAGUGGACCACCCUAAGGUGACUAAUGCCACCAUAGCCUUUGUUAAGGUCGUAAGGUCAAAUCGCCAACUGCCUUCCAAAGUUGGUGGUGUGUUGGCCAAGUUGCUACGCACCAAGUUGGAUGGUGAUGAAUUGUUCAAAUGCUACAAGGACUUGUAAGUGGAUAAAAGCUACCUAGCUAGCAAGAUGGAGGGCAUUGUGGCAGAGAGGGACGAGCUUGUGAAGGUGAAUGUUGAUUUAAAGGCUCGACUUAAGGAGUCAAAGUCUCGGUUAAAGGAGUACGAGCUGUGGGCUGCCUAGGAAAGGGAGGCCAGCAAGAAGCUUAAGGAGGAGUUGCUCGUUUACAAGAAGGAAGCCAUGGAGCAACAUGAAAAAGGAUUCAACAAGGCCGUCAGGCAGGCCGAGUUCUUUGCCAAGGACCUUGACUUGGGUCUCUUUGACCUUUAAAGGAUGUGAAGGACGAUGUCUUGCUUGACGAGGAAGAAAUUGUUGUGGACAAGGAGGCUAUUGAUGAAGAGCAGAGUGCUGAGGAGCAAGGCGAUGAUACUUGUGUCUAGGUUGCCUUUGCCUUUACCUUUCUUCUUUUCUUCAUUGUUAGAAUUUGAGUCAUAUAGGCCUUGUAACUAUGACAAUUAUUUUUAUUUUUCCUUAAUGCGUAUGUCUUCAAUGCACAUGCUUUCCUUCGAUGGUGAAUUUUUUCCUAUGUGUAUGUUAUGUAUGUUGCCUUUGUCUAUGCAACACUCUAUUACUUGUGGUAGUAUGGAUAGGCCGUCGUGAUGGUAAGUAUAGAAUCUUUGAUGGCAAAAGUAUUUACGCUGAAUACUUGUUCCACUGGUCAGUGAUGCUAAUCAGCAAGUGCACUGAGUCGCACAAGUAAUAUAAAAUGGUAAGACCGAGUAUCGUAUCCACAGGGAACUUGUUUCAUUCAGAGAUCAUUCAUUCAAUAGGUAAACAUUUGUAUAAAGCCAGUAAAUAUAGAAAGAAGUUGUGUCAAAAGUUCUAAUUUAGCUACAAAACUUACUAUCUAAAUAUGAGAGAUAAACAGAUGAUUAAAACGUUCGGUCUUUCUACUGAACAAAAUGAUGUUAUUAAGUGUUUUUCUCUAUUUAAGGUUGUUUCUGUGUUCUAUGCCAAAAACGACUAGUCAAACCAAGAUCCCUCUAGUAAAUGAGUCUAAUUCUAUUUAAGCUUCGUUCUAGAUUCCUCGUCGAACUUAGCUUAAACGAAUUGCAUUAAUAUUAUGACAUAUUAUAAACUAAAUCCCUGCACUCUGUGUCUAGACAUACAGUUCUCUAGCCUGCUCUAUCCAGUUCUAAGGAUUUAAAAUACUUUCCAAUGCUAAAAAUCUUAACUUUACACACAAAUGGGUGAUCAAGCCACAAGCAUGCAAGAAUUAAAUACAGAUAGAAGCAAUGAACACAUAAAAACAACUUUAAAUAGAUAGUGAAGAUUUUUACAUCAAAGCUCAGCAGAAAUCCCCAACAAGAGAUUUAGCAUUCCAUUACAAGUUAGCACCUUUCAGCACCAAGAUGAGGUUUUUGAAGGAAAAUUAAGAUUACAAAGUGGUGGGGAUGUCUCCUCCAUCUCUAAAAACCUAACAAUCACUCAUAAACCUAAAAUCCUCUUGAAAGCUGAGGCCUUUCGUUCAAGCUUUUCUCUCUUGCUCUGUUUUUCGGCUUUGUUACGUCUCUCUUCCAUAAGAACUCCCUAUUUUUUCUCCAACUUCAGUCUUUUAAAGGCUUUUUGAUCCUGAAGGCUCGCUUAGCGCCAUUUUCUCGCUAAGCGCGAGUUAGUGAAUUCUCACUUAGCGAGCUGGACGCACUGAGUGCGAGAAGAGACAGAUAACUCGUUGAGCGAGCUAAUGGUGCACUGGGCGCGUGCAUGAAUGGCAGAUUUUCUUCCAGAUUCUCCCCACUCGCUAAGCGAGCUAAGUGCCUCGCUUAGCAGAUGUUACUUGCUAAGCGCAUAUGCCUCGCUUAGCGAGACACCAACUGCUUCAACCUUCUUCUUCUUCAUCCUUUAGCCUGAAACUGAAGUAGAACCACAUUAAUUCACAAUAUUGGGAAUAUCUACUCAGUAAAAUUAAACUAAACAUAAAAAUAUGUACAAACCUACAAAAAGAACCAUAAAUUGGGGAAAAGAUAUAAAUUUUAUGAAACUUUUCAAUACAAAAGUUAGCCCUAAAUGACGACUAACAACAAGAAGCAAGACCUUGGCAAUGUAGAGGUAGGACUGUGGUGGUCUUGCAAAAAUUAGAUGACAAGAAAUCAUCUCAGGUUUGAUUUCAACCUGGUUAAAGGUCUUGUCACCCAUUUGGUAGGGCUUCCUUUUGCUUUGUGGAGCUUUUCCCCUGAUGUUUGUCAGAAGUAUGUUUGACUUGCUCCUGGUUGAAGGUUUUGCUAGCCAGUUUGGGGGUAGGUCGUGUAACCUGCGAAGCUUCUCCUUUAAUGGUUAUGAAGAGUAAGUAUGACUUCCACUUGAUUGAAGGUCUUUCAAAAUAGUCUAGUGGUAGUUCAUUUUGUUGAAUUUGGACCUUUGACGAUGGUCAUCGUAGUUGGUGCAAGUGAGCAGACCAAAGGGGUGCCUUGGGUUUUGUAGGAGUACUUACCAAGGGUGGACCUUGGGGUUUGGAGGAGUGUGUUCCAAGGGUAGACCUUGGGUUUUUGAUAUACUUGUAUUCCUGCACAGAUAAAAAUUAGUAAUAGAGAAGAUCAUUAAGGGUAAACCUUGCAUACCUUGAGUUCCUAUGGAGAUGGAACUUAGUAACAAAAAGGGCUCACCAAGCAUGAACCUUGGGUUUAUCGAGCCUUGGACCGGGGAUGUAUUUGCCCUAGGUUUUAUCAAGCUUGUGGAGCUGCGUCGAGGCUUACCAAGGAUGAGCCUUGGAUUUUGUGAAACUAUAAGAAUUACCAAGCAUGGAGCUUGGAUUUAACGAGUCUUAUGUGCAGCAAAAGUGUUGUGCACUUGCAUACAUGGCACUAGCCGUGGAUGGCAUGUACUAGAGAUGUAAUGGUGUGCUCUUGCAUACGUGCCUCUUACAAAGUGACAUGUAUUAGAGACAUGGUGGUGUAAAUUAGUAGGACCCACCAAGGGUGGACCUUGGGUUUUACGAUCCUUUUGGAGGAUUAACCAGGGGAUUGUCUGACUUGGGUUUUGGGCAUCAUGCUUUUGCAUGCAUGCCACUUGCCAUGGGUGGCAUAUACUAGAGUCAUAGUAUUGUGCUCGUGCGUACAUGUCGCUUGUCGUGGGUGACAUGUACUGGAGACGUAAUAGUGUGCUUGUACGUACAUGUCACUCACCGUGGGUGACAAGUACUCGAGACUUAGUAGUGUGCUCAUGUGUAUAUGUCACUCGCCGUGGGUGACACGUAUUGGAGACAUAGUAGUGUGUUCAUGCGUACAUGUCACUCGCCGUUGGAGGCAUGUACUAGAGAAAUAAUAGUGUGCUCGUGCGUACAUGUCACUCGUCGUGGGUGGCAUGUACUGGAGAUGUAGUAAUGUGUUUGUGCGUACAUGUCACUCGCCACGGGUGGCAUGUACUGGAGAUUUAAUGCUAGAGGGAGGGCUCACUAAGGGCAAUUCUUGGGUUUUAAGAUCCUUGGAGCUACGACUAUGGAUGCUCGUCUUGAUAAGGGAAAUGUGAGAAGGGGUGUAAAAUUUUUAUUCAAUGUAUUUGAUUAAGUACAAAUUACAUUAAUUAUCCUAGAUGUGCCUCGUUAAAACCUCUCAAGCCAAAACCCUGAUUUUUCUAUUUUUGGGACAAAAGACCUGAGUAGGAAAAAAGUACAACAUUGGGUUUGCAUUUAGGUCAACUGAAGUAAAACUUUAGGUGGGUGAAGUUCCACGUUCUUGGAAUUGCUUUGCCAUCUAGGUCUUGUAGUCUAUAUGCUCCGUUGCCAAGGUUGGUUGUGACCCUGAAUGCUCGUUCCCAGCUGGGGCCAAGCUUUCCCGCUUGGGAAUCUUUUCUGGCUUCACCUUGGACUCAUCAUACAAUGUCACCAGGUUGAAAGGCUCGUGGUUGAACCUUUGCAUUGUAUCUCCUUGCUGCUCGGAGCUUGGCAGCUUCUUCCCUGAUCCUCGCCAUAUCUUGGACUUCGUCUGUGGUUUCGAGUUCUACCUUCAUAUUUUCUUCAUUUUGCUGUUGAUGGAACAACAAUCUCCUUAUUGACAGUUCCCUGACUUCAACAAGGAUCAUGGCGUUUGUGCCAUAUGUGAGUCGGUAAAGAUUUUCAUUGGUUGCUAUCUGGGGUGAACAGUGGUACGCCCAGAGUAUGCUGGAGAGCUCCUUUUUCCAUAGACCCUUAGACUUGUUGAGUCUAGUACGUAGCACCCUAAGAAUGACUCUAUCAAUUGCCUCUACCUGACUAUUGGUCUGAGGAUGUUCGACAAAGGUGACUAGGUGCUUUAUGCCUAGCCUUGUCAAGAAGUCUUUGUAAGUCUGAGCUUUGAAUUGAGUGUUGUUGUCUGUGAUAGUGGCAUAUGAGAGGUCGUACCUACAGAUAAGGUGUUUCCAGGUGAAUUUCUCCACCUCGUUGGCCGUAAUUUCCCACAGUGGUUUUGCUUUUAUCCAAUUGGUGAAGUAGUCGAUAACAACUAGCAAGUAUUUGACUACUCCUGGGGCCUUUGGCAGUGAUCCCAAUAUGUUCAUUCCCCAGGUGGCGAAGGGCCAAGGGGAGCUUAGAUUGUGGAGAUUGUUAGGAGGGGUGCAUGGCAGAUCUAUACCUCCUAGUAAAGUUGAUGGUGUCUGCCCUGAGUGUUGGCCAAUAGUAGUCGGCUCGCACCACUUUGGUCGCAAGGGAGCAUCCUCCGUUGUGGAGACCACAUAUCCUUUCAUGAAGUUCUCUCAUGACGUAGUUUUCCUGUUAGGUGUUUAGGCAUUUGAGUAGGGGUGUUGUCAACCCUUUUAUGAAUAGCUUGCCAUCAAGGAUAACGUUGUAGUUGGCCUUUCAUUUGAGGCGUCAGGCUUCGUCCUCAUUUGGUGGUAGUUCCCCUCGAAUUAGGAAGUUCUUGUAGGGGGUCAUCCAUUCUGGUUCCUCUUCUUCUCUAGCCAUAACUUCCUCAACAUCUAUGGUGGGAGUUUAGAGGGUUUCCCAGAUGAUAGUCUUGAGGUGCCCGACCUUUUUGGUGCUGGCCAGCUUGGAGGGUCUCCCUGGGUAUGUAGUACAUUUUGAAACAUUCAAAAUUUUCAAUGAAAGUCUUCAUGAUGUGAUAGUACUUGAGCAACAUUGUUUCCUUAGUUUGGUAUCUCUUAGCAACUUGUCCUUGGACAAGCUGCAAGUUUGUGUAGCAUCGUAACCUCUUGGCUCCGACUUCUCUUGAUGGCUUCAAACUUGCAAUGAGCACCUCAUACUCUACCUAGUUGUUUGAGGCUUUGAAAUUGAGCUUGAGGGCUUGCUCUAGAGUGACAUUGUUAGGGCGUUCGAGGAUGAUUCCUGCCCCGUUUCCUUUUACGUUGGACACACCAUCAAUGUAAAGGUUCCACUAGUCUGGGAUGGUUGUGUCGUUUCCAGUGAAUUCUGUUAGAAAGUCAGUCAUGAAUUAUGUCUUUAUGAGGCUGCGAGGUUUGUAGUCGAUGUAAAACUCUGAAAGUUUGACGAAUCAGGCCACCAUCCUUCAUGAGAGUUCAAGCUUUAGCAAAACUUGCUUAAUGGGGUAGUUCGUUUUGACGACCACUUGAUGACUCUAGAAGUAGGGCCUGAGUCGUCGGGCCAAGGUAAUGAGUGCUAGCGCUACCUUUUCUAUCAUUUGGUAGCUCUUUUUAGCGUCAUGAAGUGUGCAACUGGUGAAAUAAAAAGGGAGUUGGUGUUUCCCUUCCUCUUGUACGAGCAUUGAGCUAAUGGCUUUGUCAGCUACUGAGAGAUACAAAAGUAGGGGUACUUUUGGCCUGGGUCAACUCUAAACUAGUGGUGUGGCUAUGCUCUUCUUGAAAGCUAGGAAAGUUUGUUCGCAAGUCUCAUCCCAUAGGAAGGGCUCAGGAUUUUUGAGCAAUUUGUAAAAUGGCUUUGCCUUUUCAGCAAGCCUCGGGAGGAACCUAGACAUGGAUGCUAGCCUACCAUUCAAUUUCUGAACUUCAUAGAUGUUAGUUGGGCUGCACAUCUCUAGUAUGGUAAUGCAUUUUUUAGGGUUGGCUUCAAUUCCCCGGUGAGUGAUCAUGAAGCCAAGGAACUUUCCUCCGCCUACCUCGAUAGUAUAUUUUUUGGGGUUGAGGCGCAUGUCAUAUUUACAGAGUUCCCCAAAGACUUCUUCCAGGUCUGUCAUGUGUUGAGCUAUGCUUUGAGACUUGACGUCCAUGUCAUCCACAUAUAUCUCGAUGUUUCAUCCGAUCCACUAUUUAAAGACUCGGUCCAUCAGUCGUUGGCAUGUAAUGCCUGUGUUUUUUAGGGCGAAGGGCAUGACCCUGUAGCAAAAGUUGGCAUCUUCUGUGAUAAAUGUCAUUUUCUCUUCGUUUGGAGCAUGCAUCCUGAUCUAGUUGUAUCUUGAGUAAGUAUCCAAGAAGCUUAGAACCUAAAACACGGAGGCUCCAUCGACUAGCCUGUCGAUAUUGGGCAAAGGGUAUGCAUCUUUGGGGCACGCCCUGUUUAGAUCAGUGUAGUUGGUGUACAUUUGUCAUUUGUCGUUGGUCUUUUUGACCAUGACGACGUUGGCGAGCCAAGUGGAGCACCUAACUUCUCUAAUGAAGUUAGCGUUGGGGAGUUUGUCGACUUCUUCUUUGAUAGCUUUGCAUCGUUCUUCACCCAUCUUUCUUUUCUUUUGUGAUAUUGGUUUGGCUUGGGGAUAGAUGGAAAGUUUGUGGAAGAUGAUGUUGGGAUGGAUUCUCGGCAUCUCAGAUGGGUGCCAAGAAAACAAAUCAAAAUUUUUGUGUAACACAUCAGCGAUGCACCGGUGCUCAUGGCUGGUGAGGUCCCUACUCAGCUGCAUACACUACCCAGGUUUAGGUCCGAGCUGCAGCUUGAUGAGCUCUUUGAUGGGUUUUGGGCCUUUGUGUCACACGGAUCUAUGUCGAAUUUCUAGGCUUGCUUGGUAGACGGUCAGGGCUCGGAUUGGAGACCCUUUAUUCACGCUCAUGACUUGAGUGCCUUCAGCUAUUGUGGGGUGAGGAUAUGGUGCUACCUUCAAGCUUUUUGCAUAGCAUUGUUGUGCUUGCUUUUGUUCUGCCAUGACGGUUAUUAUCUCCCUGGUUAGGGUAUGGAAUUUCAUUUUCAAAUGGGGCAUGGAGAUUAUGGCUCUAAGCUCAUUAAGUGUCUUCUUGCCGAUUAAAGCAAAAUAUAAUGUAUCUGCAUCAACAAGUAGAUAUCUUAUGGUGAAUCUCCUAGAAAGCUUGCCUUGAUCGAAGGUGGUCAUUAAGUCAGUAUAGCCUCUGGUCUCUACUCUUUCCCCUGUAAAGCUGAGGAGUGGACCAGCGUGAGGGUGGACAGUGUCGGGGGAGACCUCGAGUGUCUGGAAAGUUUUUAAAUACAAGAUAUCAGUGGAACUGCCCUGGUCGAUGAGGACCUUAGACACCAUGAAGUUUGCAAUGAUGAUGGAGACAACCAUGGGAUCGUCCUGGUUGACGAGGUUGAUACCCUUGAAUUCCCUAUCUGUGAAGGUGGUAGGAAGGAGACUUCGUUGUGAUGGUGCAUCGACAAAAUUGAUGUCGAUGUUUCGAAUGGCGUGAAGAUGGCAUUUUCGGGAUUGUUCGCGGCCAGCAAGUGUACCGGAUCACACAAGUAGUAUAAAAUGGUAAGAACCAAGUAUCGAACUCUCGGGGAACUUGUGUUAUCUGGAAAGCUAUUUCGGUAAAUAGGUGUCUGGUAUGAAAAGAUGAUUGUGGUUAUGAACAGGUAUGUAAACUAUCUAUGCAAAAAGAAAGAAAAUCACGUAAGAGAAAUGUUGUAUAAAAACAAGUAGAGAACAGGUUGGUCUUCCUAAUAGGUUCCUGAUGCUAGAACGAAUGUUCUCUAUCUAACAAUGCCCAUGUAUUCCUAUGUUGUCUCCUGGAUUGUUAGACCCCGAUUCCUCAUGAUAGCCUAGCCUAAUCCAGAUCAAGCCUCGUCCGCAGAUUCUUCUUGUAAGACUAAACUCAACCAGGACCGCAUUAAGACACACAUACACAACUAAGUUCUUGUACCCCGAUUCCUCGUGACAGCACAACAACUUAGCCCCAUACUAUCAAGGACUUUAGAAUCAGACUAGUUUCCACUGUUGAAUGACCCUAACAAAGCAUGCAUCUACGUGAUCAAGGUAAAGGCAUACUAGAAUGAAAAGCAGAUAGCACAGAGAACACACAAAACAUCAUUACAGAGAUAGAAAUAUAUUUACAUCAGGUACCUACAGGGAAGAUCCAAUAGAGGAUUUAGCUUUCCAUGGUUCGGAAACCUCCUUUACAACACAGAGAAGAACAAGAUGAAAGAUAGCAAAAAUACAAGUGGUGAGGAUGUCUCCUUCACCUCUAGGAUCUCACAAUCACUCACAAACUUAUCUCAAGUUCUCAGAACGACUUCCGCUUCGAGCUCUCGUCUCUGCAGAUCUUCACACAGCAAAAUCUCUCAGAACUCUUUGGAACUUGGACCUUUCUCUCUCUAGAACUUCCUAAACAUGCAAAGCUUCAAGCCAAGGUUAGACUCUCGUGCAUGUAGAGGCUUUUUCAAGAAAAAUGCCAAACUCCCUCAAAAAAUCUGAUUUCAAGUUUAAAUAGGUGGGUUGGUCCCUACUCGCACGCUUAGCGUAAAUCUGAAUCGCUUAGCACGCAUAAGUGGAUUGUGGCUUACCACGCUUCUCUCACUUAGCGGAUGAGCUGAAGUGGUGCGCUUGAUGACCUGGAGUGGUGCCCUCAGCGAACCUGACAGAUCAUCUUCUUCUAGAUUCUUCCUCGUGCUUAGCCAUUGAGUGUCACGCUUAGCGAAUGCUCGCUAAGCCAGCAGAUUGGCUUAGCGAGAAGGUGAAAACAACAUUUUUACCAAUUUGCCUAAUUAACCUGAAAUUAAGAGAAAUUGAUUAUUAAACACACAAAACAAAAGUAUAAAUUAUCUAUUAUCUAUAUUUAACAUAAAGUACUUAUAAUAUUAUAAAACAACUAUAAAUUGGAGAAGUUUGAUACAAUAUACACAAGUUUUAUACACAAAAGUUAGUCGUUUUCACAGACUAACAGGGACUAGUUGGACUAUCCUCAAUAGGAAAAUCCGCCCGCAAUGGUGUUGAUUCACCCCUAAUUUGUUAGGCGGAUUCCUGUUCUUGUGGAGGUUGUCGUUCACACCGUUGUUGUUGGUGUCUCUGUCUUCCUCGGUCUUCCGCUCUAUCUCUUCUUCUAUUUGCAUUGUGAAUCCUUUAUUGCUCCUCUGGGUCUUGUUCCAACUUGGUAGUUGUCUGGCCUAUUGACAAACUGGGCUAGGUACCCAACUUGUAUAAGCUUUUCUAUCUUGUCCUUAAGGGGCCAACAAUCUUCUGUGUUAUGACCAAUACCGUGAUGAUACCUGCAGUAUUUGGUUACGUCUAACCCCGACCUAGGAGGUUUCGUUGGGGGUAGCCUGAUGGGAACCUUUAAGUUGAAAGCUUCCUCUAGAAUUGUAGUGUGAUUAACCGUUAGGGGUGUGUAACGCUCAUACCUGGACCCUUUUGGGAAAGGUUGAUGCUUGUCUGACUUGUGUAAGUCGGUCUUGGUACUUCUUUCUCACUUGUCGAGCUUCUGUAUGACUUGUUUGACUUCAUUCUUGAAUUUGGACAUUUUUCCAUCUGGAUGUAGCCUUUGGCUUACUCGCGCAACUCGUCCAUGCUAUCAUGGAUUUUUUUUUUGCACAGAUUGUCCGCAAAAUUGUUGGGGUGUAGGGCGAGGAGCAUGGAAUGCAACGCUACCUUAGGGUUAAGAUUUUGGAUUUGGACGAUUGUGCGCCCAAAUCUAUCCAUGAAUUUUCUGAGAGACUCGUCAUUUGCUUGUCACAGACUGGCUAAGGCAGUCGAGGUCAUACAGUGAGAUCUACCGGUUACAUACUGCACACUGAAGUGUUCAAUGAGGGUGUCGAAGCUGUCUAUAGACCUAGGUGGUAGUUCGUUGUACUAGGUCAAUGUCGCCCCCUUAAGGGACAUUAGGAAGACAUGACAUAGAAUCACAUGUCAUCAUUAGUGUAUAGGUUCGCCCGAGUCAGGAAGGCAUUUAGGUGCUCAUCUGGGUUUAUGGUCCCAUCAUACCACUCGAGGUUGAGUGGUUUCCACCCCAAGGGUAUGUCAGCCUCCAUGAUGCAGUCAACAAAGGGAUGUUGACGAGUAGUCCGCCCUACUGGACAAUGCAUGUGGGAGAGACUUAAGUCAUCUACAGUGUUGACUGUGCGUCGGGGGUGUGAUUCCCCUUGGAUGUGCUCAAGCAAUGUGUGAGCGAAGUGCUCAUUGCCUUGGGGACGUCUGAUACGAGCCUCCAGCUGAUCAUGGUCAGCCUUUAGCUUUCUCAGCUCCUCCUCAUAGCAUUGCUCCUUCUCCGUAAUUCGGUUUUGAAGUUGCUAUAGAGAAUUUGUGUCUGUCAUAACUGCCGAAUGAGGAUGAAAGUCUUCGAAAGGAGUCUUGCGUCUAAGGCUAGACCAAGUGCUAACCAUGGGUGAAAAAGGAGAGAGUUGAUGAGAGAUCGCGGGGUAUAUUUUACCAUGUCCCCACGGUGGGUGAUAAAUGUACUUACCAAAAUCCGAAGCUAGGACACAUCAGGCUAGACGUGGCCAAUGUAGGCUCUUGAACUUCACACGUCGACUUAGAGAGGCACCUUUGUUAAGAGGACAAGAGGGGGGACCUGCAAAACAAAGGACUCUGAUGCUCAAGUAAGUAUAUGAGUUAGGAGAUAAAGCAAGUGUAUGCUUAAAUGUAGGCUCGAGUGAGCAAUAGAGAGAGAUAAGCAUAGGCUUGUUGCUUGUGUGCUGGUGUGUGUGGCAUGUGUUGAGGGUUCAGUGGAACCUAGUAUUUAUAAGAGUGGAGCAUAUUUGUGGAUUCUUGUUGGUAGGGGCUGUUAUAGCCUUUGCAGAUAAUUCUUGACUUAUAGAUAAUAGCUGAUAGCUUGUAGAUAAUGUUAGAGAUAAGCUGUAGUUUAUAGAUAAAAGCUAGAAAAUAACUGUACUUUGUAGAUAAUGUGUGGCUUUGUAGAUAAUUAAAUACCUGCCAGUAGAUAAAGAUACUCAAUUAUAUUCAAAUAUUAAUAGGUUAGAGAUAACCUGUUAGUCAGGGAGCCUAACUGCUAAGGGCCGAGUGUUCAUGCUCCUGUUGCAGGGCUGACGUGGAGGGUUGACACGUGUCUUAGAGUGUCAUGUAAGGUGUCAAUUAUAUUUUGUGGACCCUGGACAGUAAAUGUGAUUUCAUAUUAUUAAUUGAUUCAAUUGUUGUUGUGGUGCGAUUUUAAGAAUUAUUAUUGGAUGCAUGAAAUUAGGGAGUUUGUUGGUAGUUUUUUUAAUGGUAUUCUUAUAAUUUUGUAAGUUGAUCAUCACCUUCUGGGAAAGGAUGAUGAUAUACAUUUUAUUAUGAGAUUAUAAUGUUAUAUACCUCCAUCUGGGAUGAGAAUAAUAUUUAUUUAUAGAUACUCCCAUCUAAGAUGGGGGAGAGAUUCUAGAUACCUUCAUCUAUGAUAGGGAAGACUAUGAGACACCAUUACAUGAAAUAUGAGCUCAUAAACUUUUUGAAGAAUCUGAAAUCUACACUGAUUUUGGAAACCAAAAAAUUGAGUCUUGUGAUUCUGGGAAUCACUAAAUUAUGUCUGUUAUAUUUAUUUGAAUACACUGAGGUAUUGUUGUUUAUUUAAAUAUUUUAUUUAUUCAGAAUGUCAUGAAUUGUAAGUGUUUUAAUCUUAUUUUUAUUAGAGUAUACACACACACACAAAAUCUUAUUUUAAAUUCAUUAUGGAUACCAUGACUGAUUUUCGGAUUACAACGCCAGUUGAGAACAACAUUAUUUACAAAACUCUAAGUUUGUUUUAUUCACUAGGAUUAUCAUCUCAUUAAAAGUGUUGUUUUCAAAGCACAAGGAAGAAGUUUUUGGAAUUGAGGAGGCUUGAAAACUUAGUUACCUUUAAAUACAUUUUUAGCUUUGUUAGUACUCAGAAUAAUAUGUCGAAUGUGACUGAUUACGUUAUACUUUUAGUGUCGGUUAUUUUUAGAUACCUAUAUUUGAGAGUAAUAUUUUUACUUAUGUAAAGACUUAUUUAUUUGACUUUAUUUAUUAUACAUGAGGUAUUUUCGGACUAAUAUAAUUUUGAGAUUUUAUAUUCUUUUUAGUAUGAGUUGUUAUUUUAAUAAAGGCGUUAUGGUGGUUGUAGUAAUAGUGGUGAUUGUGGUGAUGAUAAAUUAAAUCUUUAAAAUAUUUAAUUUUCUAUUUGAUAAAUCUUAUAGAGAUUUUAUAAUUAAACGAGAAUUUAAUUUGAAUUUAAAAUAUUUUAAUCUUGACCUUACAUUUUAAUAUAAUGGAUGAGAAUGAUCAUUCUCAUUCUCACAUAAGAAGAUCAUUCUCACCUAAAACGUCCUUCGAUCUUUCUUUAUGUAUAUGAAACGUCUUCCUUUUUCUUUCUAUAUAAAGGGGAUUAACAACCAACACCAUAAAUAUUUGUAAAAAAAAAAACCCAUUGAAUUCCUUUGUCAUUAACUUUAAUGUAAGGAUAUUAUAAUAAUUUAUGUUUUAAUUUUAAUGUUUACGAGAGAGAAAAAAUGAUUGAUAAUUUAAUGCUUAGAGAAAAUUGUCUAAAAAUUAAUGUGGACAAAGAUGAGAGAAGAAAGAUAAAUAAUUAUUUUAAAAUUGAAUCAUAAAUUAAUAUAAUAUCCUUAAAUUAACUUAUUAUACAAAGGAAUUUAUUGAUUUUUUUUACAAAUAUUUAUGGUAUUCCUUAUAAAUACUUAAGUAUAAAAGUUAUAAUUUUUAUUUUAUAUCGAAUAAUGUGGAUUAACUAUUGACUUAUUAAGUUGAUUCCUGUCCUAAUAUUACGAUCGAAUAGAUUAUCAAUUCGAAUUCGAAUCUAAUAACAGUGCUCAAUAGCAACUUCAUCUAAUAUCUACAUGACAUGCCGCAUCAUUAAAAUUGAAAAUUUGAUCGGAUAUUUGAUCAAAAACAGAUCCAUACAAGUGAUAUCUUUUGAAAGAGAUCCAUUUUGGUAAAUAUUUAGAGAGGUAAAGGUCGAAGUAAAGGUAGAAGUAAAGAGACCCAUGUAAAAACUGACCCAAAUUGGUCAAAUAGCCGUUGUAAGUUAUAACCACGUGGAGUGGAGCAGCGACUGGUAAAGGUAGAAGUAACCAUAGCGAACGUCGUUUUAUUUCUUAUUCCCCACGUUUCAAAAAAACCGUGAAAUUUUCUUAAUCUGUUGGCCUUCUUCCACGAUUCCUCUGACCUUUCUUCUUCACUUUUAAUUUCUGGUCUUCGGUGAUACCCAAUCUAUCUUCCGUUCAAAUCCCAAACCCCCUUCGCAUCCAAUGCCCUAGUUUCGCUCCAUUCUCUCCGGUUCCUCCCCACGAUGUCCAGCGACACCUCCUUCGCGGACCGCAAGCUCUGCGGUUUCCUCUGUACGGUUCUCACACUCACUCCCCGCGACGACUCAGACACCACCGACAUACCCUUCCCCGAGCCAUGCGAAAUCUUCGGCGAAGGGGGCGAGGUCGGCUUCCGGACCCCGAACGGCGUCGUUCUGGGCCCGGUGCUCGAUUCGUUGCAAUGCGGCGGUGGCGGCGGUGGCGGCUCCAACAAGAUCAAGAGAAGGAACAAGAUUGGAAUGGUGAACGGGAGCGUGAGCGUGGUUCACCAGCUCCACGCCAUGGUCACUCGCAAGUGCGCCAGAAUCGACGCUCGCGUGGUGUGCGUUGAAGCGCUUCCUAGGGUUGUGGUGCUGGUUGACGUGUAUGUCCCCGUUCAGGUAUGGAGUGGCUGGCAGUUUCCGAGAUCGGGACCCGUCGCUGGCGCCGUUUUUCGCCAUUUGAGGUUAGCUUCUUCUUUCUCGCCUUCGAAUUCUUUGUAUUUAUGUUUAGGGAUUUAGUUACUAAUAACAUUGCAAUGUGUAGAGAAAGAUCACAUGAACGAUUUUGGUGAAUUCUGCAUAAGUAAUAGUUUGCCAUACUGUAGUUGUUUGAGGUUUUAAUUUUUAAACUGUGGUUGAGUGGUAUUUAUUGGUGUAUGUUUUGAUUAAAGUUUGAAAUCAUAGUGUAGCGUGGUUUUACAGUUUGAGCAAAGUUUUUGAAAUUCUGCACUACUUAGUCCUUUGACAGUUAGUCAGUUACCAUGCUAAAUUUGGCAUUUUUUAAAAAAAAAAUAAAAUUAAGGAAAUAAAUAACUAGUUUAGCUAGAUGUCAUGGUUUUAAUUGAAGGACUACAAGUACAUACUACUAGAGAUGGUGUAACUGUUUCAUGUGAUGUUGUCUGCGAUUUGAAUCUUUGGUUAUCUUAUUGCUUGUUUGGUCACGUGUGUUGGUGUGUAUUUAUGUGUAAAUCGAGAAGCUGUGAAUUGUAGCUUUCAUGUUAUUCUACAAUUUGACAUGAGAUUUUACAUGUAUAACAUAAAUCUGAACAGACUAUAAAUACACUAUAAUUAUUUAGUGGUGUGGAUGAGAUGGAAGAUAGUUGUAACCUAUGUAACUGAUGUAAUGUUCUUGCAAGGGUAGUUGCCGGAUUCUUUUAGCUACUCUGCAUACUAGAGAGUAGAGACUAUUGCCUUGCAAACACGGUAACUUUGUGGUCACAUGUUUCAUUCCUGAUGGGUUAUAUGAAUAUCAUGACAAUUAUUGAUGCAUUGUGUUGAUUUGCAAAAACAUUGUUUUUUCUCUUUUGUACAAGAUGAGAGAAAACUCAACAUUUCUUUCUCUUUCCAUUUCUAUUUUUAAAGGGGGGGGGGGGGGGGGGGGGGGGGGGGUUAAAAUGCAUCUCAGAUCAUAAGAUCCUUCCUAAAAUGCAAAUACAUAACUCAUAAUAAAGAUUAAAAUUCAAUACAUAACACUCAACUCAAAAUAGGUUCAUAAGUCAUAACAUAACUCAUAGUAAGUUCAUAUUACUUAAUACAUGCACACUAAACUAGGAGAUCAUUCAAAUUAAAAUCAGGAAAGUCAUCUGUCAUCCUCCAGAUGAUCUUCGUCCUCUUUAAUGGCAUUUCCUCUACCUUCAUCAUCAUCAUCAACAAUUGGAGGAACCUCCAAAUCAUCUACUGGUGCACCACCACCUACUAGCUUCUUCUCCUGCUUCAACUAAGAUAGCUUCAUCUAAAGCAUCCAAUUCUAAAUUUGCUUCGUUCUCCACCACAACCCAUUCUUCAUCAGAAGCUUUGGGGGAAAGUUUCAAAAGAAUUUAUAUGAUACAUUGGUAAAAUAUGCAUUCUUAGCUAGUUUCGUAUUACACUACAAAUUGAUCAUUUUAUCAAACCUAAUACCAUCUCUAACAUGAUCAUACAAGAUCACUCACUGGUUUUAUUCUCGGAAUUCUGUAAACAAUAAAUUAAAUUGUCUGCCUUCAUUUUCCUGUGUGAAUAUACUUAACGGAUGUCUUUGGCUGUCUUAGUUAGCUAAUAGCUAAAUGUUUAUGCAGCUGUGAUUGGAAUGAGAGACGUUCAAUGCUUUCAUAUCCAGACUAUUGUAGGAAGACUUAUGGAGCAAAUGAGAGCAUUUGGAACCUUUCUGAUUGUCAUGUACUUGGUUGCAAGCUCCAUUCCGGUGUGAGCAAUUCUUCAAGGAAAAUACUAUUUCAACUUCAUGAAAUUUUUAAGGCACUACCUGGUGUAGGAAAGCGGCAGACAUUUAAUAGUUCCAAGAUAAUACCUAUGGAUAACAUUUGCAGAUCAGGCAUUUGGGAGUUAUCUGAUGAUAUUUUAACUAAGAUUUUAGCUUCCCUGGGCCCAAUGGACCUCACUAGGGUUUCUGCAACAUGUCAUCAUUUAAGAUCCUUGGCUGCUUCGGUAAUGCCUUAUACCAAGUUAAAUCUGUUUCCUCAUCAGAGGACAGCAGUUGAGUGGAUGUUGCAUCGUGAGCGAAAUGCUGAGCUUUUGCCACAUCCGUUAUUUGUAGCUCUCUCAACUGAAGAUGGCUUUAGUUUCCAUGUAAAUACUGUAACUGGUGAUAUUGUUACUGGGGAAGCUCCCACCGUCAAGGAUUUUCGUGGAGGAAUGUUUUGUGACGAGCCUGGCUUGGGUAAGACUGUAACAGCUCUCUCUCUUAUUAUGAAGACGCGAGGUACAUUGGCAGACCCGCCAGAUGGGGCACAAGUAGUCUGGUGUCAACAUAAUGGUAAUCAGAAAUGUGGAUAUUACGAGGUCAGUGUUAGUGGUAAUCACAUCACUGGUUGUACUACCUUGGGUAAGAGGGAUGUGUGCCAAGAUACCAGCAGAACUAAUGAUAACCAUGAUUACUCCUCCAAAAGAGCCAGAUUGAUAGAUCCUGAUCAGCAAAUAACUAAACUUCAUGAUUCAUGUUCCAGGGAAGAAAACAAAUCACCUGUUGAUGCAUGUUUCAAGGAAUCUAUGCAUUCAAAUCAGUUCACUGGGAGUUUGAGUCGCAUAAAGAAAAAUCUACAUUUCACAUUUGAAGAUGAAGCUAUGAUUUCCAAGGAAAGAGAAAUUGGUGAAGGAUUAAUUAAAGCAAAGCAUGCAUUAGAUGUUACAUCUCAUGUAUCUCAAAACAAGUCGCCUGGGAAGCCUAAAGGUGACUGUUUUGAGUACAAUGAUACAUGGAUUCAGUGUGAUGCUUGUCACAAGUGGCGAAAGCUUGUAGACAAUAGUAUGGCUAAUUCUAGUGCAGCAUGGUUUUGUAGUAUGAACACUGACCCUCUGUAUCAAAGUUGUAGUGUCCCUGAACAACAUUUUCAUAAUAUCUGUAAGAUAACACACUUGCCAGGGUUUCAUUUGAAAGGAACUUGUGGAGGUGAGAAACAAAAUGUUUCUUUUUUCACUAGCGUGCUUAAGGAGCACUACUCCUUGAUAAAUUCUCAGACAAAGAAGGCCCUGACGUGGUUGGCUAAAAUUUCAACAGACAAGCUUGCAGGAAUGGAAACAAAUGGCAUCAGGGGUCCUAUUUUAAACAUUUGUACUGCAUCUAAUAGACAUUUCCACAAAAUAUUUCAAGCAUUUGGCCUCUUAAAGAGAGUAGAGAAAGGUGUUUGCAAGUGGUACUACCCUCAACAUCUUAACAAUUUGACUUUUGAUGUGGCUGCCCUUGGCAUGGCUCUCCGUGAACCAUUAGAUUUUGUUAGGUUAUACUUGUCAAGAGCUACCCUGGUAGUUGUUCCAGCAAACUUGGUUGAUCAUUGGAAAACGCAAAUAGAAAAGCAUGUGAGGCCUGGUCAAUUGCGGGUUUAUGUUUGGACUGAUCAUCAAAAGCCAUCUGUGCAUUGUCUUGCAUGGGAUUAUGAUGUUGUCAUAACUACUUUUAGUCGUUUGAGUGCAGAGUGGGGCCCACGUAAGAGGAGUGCUUUGAUUCAAGUGCAUUGGUUUAGGAUAAUUUUAGAUGAAGGGCACACUCUUGGGUCAAGCCUGAACUUAACAAACAAGUUGCAAAUGGCUAUUUCAUUGAUAGCUUCAAAUCGAUGGAUACUAACAGGAACUCCAACGCCUAACACUCCUAACAGCCAACUUCCUCAUCUACAACCAUUGCUAAGGUUCCUUCAUGAAGAAUCUUAUGGACUGAAUCAAAAGUCAUGGGAAGCUGGUGUGCUUAGGCCAUUUGAAGCAGAGAUGGAGGAAGGGAGGUCUCGUCUGUUACAUUUACUUCAAAAAUGCAUGAUUAGUGCUAGAAAGAUAGAUUUACAAAGCAUUCCACCAUGCACGAAGAAAGUUGUUUAUCUAGAUUUUAAUGAGGAGCAUGCUAGGAGUUACAAUGAAUUGGUAAUCACUGUACGACGUAAUAUAUUGAUGGCUGAUUGGAAUGAUCCUUCACAUAUUGAGAGUCUACUGAAUCCAAAACAGUGGAAAUUUCGUAGUGCAACUUUAAAAAAUGUGAGGCUUUCAUGCUGUGUUGCUGGACAUAUUAAAGUUACACAUGCUGGAGAAGAUAUUCAAGAAACAAUGGAUAUGUUAGUACAAAGUGGUCUGGACCCUACUUCAGGAGAGUAUACCUCCGUAAGAUAUAAUCUCUUGUAUGGUGGUCACUGUGUCAGGUAGUACCUAGGUUUUAUUCUUUCUUGUGGCUUUAUUUUUCUUCUGGUUGUUGCUGUUUAUUAAUUUUUUUCUUAAUAAAUUGUGAAGGUGCAAGGAAUGGUGUCGCCUUCCACUCAUUACCCCAUGUCGGCAUCUGUUGUGCCUUGAUUGUGUUUCUAUAGACAAUACCAAGUGUACUUAUCCUGGCUGCAGUAAAUUGUAUGAGAUGCAGAGUAGAGAGGCCCGACCUGAAAAUCCUAAACCGAAGUGGCCUGUACCCAAAGAUCUUAUUGAGCUACAACCUUCAUAUAAGCAGGCAUGGUUAAUGGAGAACUCAGUUAACAUUCAUCUUUUUUUCCCUCUUUCUGGUUUGCAAUGCUAACAUGCAAUGUUGAUUAUUUAAUACCCAGGAUAAUUGGGAUCCUGAUUGGCAAUCUACAUCUAGUAGUAAAGUCUCCUAUCUCGUCCAGAGGUUGAAAGCUUUGCGAGGAACCAAUGAAGAGACAUACUUCAAUACAGAAAAUAGCAAUGAUGAUUUGCAUAUUGAGAAUAGUUUGCAUAGAAGUGAUGACAAAUCAUCAAUUCAGACAUGUUCUAUGAGCAGCACUAAGACCAAUUUGAACCCUGAGAAAGUUCUGAUAUUUUCUCAAUUUCUUGAGCAUAUACAUGCCAUUGAACAGCAGGUACAGUUUUAUGCCGCAUUUUGUGUGUGAUCUUUCAUGAAUUGUUCUAUUUUAUUUUUUGGCAUCUGUGAAUUCUUUUGCAAAUGAUCAAACUAUUAAAUUGGAUUUCUCUUUGGCAGUUGACUAUUGCUGGUAUCAAAUAUACUGGAAUGUAUAGCCCAAUGCAUUCCAGCAACAAGGUAUAAUGCUGGAAUUUUCUUUUACUGUUUCUUAAAAUUAAAAUUUACUUUUGGUUUCUGACCGUUGGUUAAUUUGCCUUUUCCUUUUCCAGAAGAAGUCAUUAGCCAUGUUCCAGCAUGAUUCAAAUUGUAUGGCACUUCUGAUGGAUGGAAGUGCUGCAUUGGGUCUUGACUUGAGUUUUGUUACGCAUGUAUUUCUAAUGGAGCCAAUUUGGGACCGAAGGUUAAUAUAUCAAACUAAUAUAAUUUGCAAACAAGAAUAUAAAAUUAAUUUUUUAUUGCUUUUAAGACUGAGGGAUAAAAUGAUUUUGAGAAAUUUUAAAAUUCUACAUUAUUUAAUUUUCUUCUCAAGUUGAGCAUAGUAAAAUUUUCUGUGAACUUUCUGUGUGGCUAAUAUGCAUUGUCAAUACUGAACUUUUCUGUUUUGGGAUUUAGCAUGCAAACUGGAACCAUGCUGCAUAAAGUGACUGGCAGUGUAUCUCUUGGUUUCCCAAUUUGCUGGAUCCUUCUACUUCAACCGAAAUUGGCAUGUUUAUCCAGUUUAAUUAUUUUCUAACUUGACCAAAAUGUUUUCAGUAUGGAGGAGCAAGUAAUUAGUCGUGCUCAUCGUAUGGGUGCUUCUCGUCCUAUUUAUGUGGAAACAUUAGCAAUGCGUGGUACAAUUGAAGAGCAAAUGCUAGACUUUUUACAGGUAAAUCUCUAUAAAUUGAACUAUCUUACACCUAUUUGAGUGUACUACUAACAAUGAUGGGUCUCUUUGAAGGCCUUGUUAGUUUAUGUUGUCGUUCAUGUAUGUCACUGAAAAUUGUCUCCUCAAUGUCUUUUGUUUUGUUUAGCUUUUAUAUUGUUGUUGUUGUUCAUCUUUCAAUUUGUUGAUGGUUUAAGCAGGAUGCUGAUAACUUUAGAAGAUCACCAAUUAAGGAUGCUACCGAAUCUGUUGAUGAUAGUGGGGGACGAGGAUAUAGAUCAUUGCAUGAUUUUGCUGAGAGUAGUUAUCUACUGAAACUUAGAUCUGUGUAUACUAAUUUGGAAAGUCCAAAAGGUUUGUACAUACAGUUUUUCCUUAACUGUUUUUUGUUAGCAAACAUAGAUUCAACAGAAAGAUGAGUGAUAUUGCAUUUGAGAAAUUGAAUGCGAGUAGUUUUUAUGACUUCUAUUCCUUAACUGUUUAUUUGAAAUUUUUGCCUGAAACAAAAAGUAAAAAGGUUAUGGUUAUGUUUUCGCCUAAACUGACUAAUAAGAUGCUUUAAAGUUUAUAAGCCACCAGCUAAAAGUUUAUAAGCUUGCAUAUUAAAUUAUAAGUGUUUUGUAAAAUUAUUGGAAUAGUUGGUAAAUGUAAAAUAACAUAAACAUAUUGUAUAACUGUUUUAUGUGAAUUCUAUUUUUGUUUUGUAGUCAAAAACAUUUAAUUAAAAGCUAAUUAAAUAGUUCUGUUAAAGUAAAUACUAAAAUAUUAUAUGAAAUAAAUAACCCAAAAAUUAAUAAAAAGAGAAAAGUAAUUAAAAAAUAGUUACAUAUGAACAAUGUUGAAGAACAGAUCGAGGGUAAAGGUAUAUUAAAAUAGUAAGGAUAUAAAGGAAGGAAAAAAUAAACUACAUGCUUAUAAAUUAUAAGCUACCUGAAGUAGCUAUAAGUUAGUGAAAUAUACUUGUUUACCAAAUACCUUAAUUUGGUCAAACAAAGCUUACAAUGUAGUCAACUAAGUUACAAGUUUGCUUAUUGGACAUGCCAAACACACUAGAUGUUUGGAAGUGAUAAAGCUGUUGAAAUCCUACUAUGAUUUUCUUUUCGAGUGAAAGAAUCAAGUGAUACUUGCAUUGCUCAAAAGUCACAAGUUAUUGUCAAUUCACUUGGUGAAUUUUGGUUAAAUGAAAUAUUGUACUCCCUUCGUCCCUAAAUAUUAGACUCUUUUAAAUGAUUCACACCCUUUAAGAAAGUUAGUUAAUAUAUUUAAUAGUAUUAAAAUUGUUAACAAUUUGUUUUAUUUUGCCAAAGUUACCCUUAAAAUUAUUGGGACUCAUAUCUUUCCUUUCACUUAAUUACUUCCCCACUUAAUUAAUUAAUGUGUGUUAAUCUUAUCUAAUCCUUAUAAGAGAAAUAAUGAUUUAUCUUUUUAGUACAUAACAUUUAUUGUAAAGUAAUUAAGAGUAUUUGGAUCAAAAUAUAAUUAAUGCAAAAGACAACUUGAAACAAACAUAAUUGAAAAAAGACUCUUAUAUUUAGGGACGAAGGAAGUAUGUCCGAGCACUUUAAGCCUGUUGAAACUGAUGGCAUGCUCUGACCCCUCUGAAUAGGACACCCUCUCCUCUCAACUUUCCCUUACCAAAUUGUAUGUUUUUUGAAAAUGAAUUUAGGAUAUGCACUUGCACUUGAAUGAAUUCUUUUACUUUUCUUUAUUAACUUGUUAAUUUAUUUAUUUUUUUAGAAUAUAAUUAGAAUGUAUUGAGUUACACUGUCUUCCAAUAUGAAUAGUCAUAUAGGUGAAAGUUGUUGACUUUUAAAAGUCUAUCUAGAAUGAUUUCUAAUUAGUUGAUAAUGUAAAAAUCUUUAUACUAUCACUAUCUUAAUUAAACUCUUGUGAUAAUGACUUUUUUAUCCGUUUUUACUUCAGGUGUUUGAUUGAUCAACAUCAAGCAAGUACUGACUAAUUUACUUGGAGCAAGUCCUGUGUACAUUUUGCAAGUUUGCAUGCUCUUGAAUAUGGUUUUACUUUUUGAGUAUAUAGUCUUACAAGUGCUCAUCUAAUGAAAGAUGCUUCCAUAUGCAUUGGAGAGUGGAAACUAUUCUUUUUGUGCAGAUUAUGGAGCUAUUUGCAGCGUCGCUUCUGUUUGCCAGUGAUUAAUGAAAUACCGGAAGUGUCCCUGCUUAUUCUUAUGUAAAGGAUUUAGUCUAGUUGAUUUGAUGUGAUCUAGUAGGCAAUUUGGAGUCAAGUAUUCGAAUUGAAAUAAAAUGUUGAGUUAUUGGAAAACAAGUGUUCUCCCACACCCUUUCUCUUAACAGUAGGUAAUAUUGAAAAAUCAUAAUAACCCUUGCCCCCUAAAAUUGGUGAUAUCAUGUAUGUUCUUAUGACUAUCGAUUUCAUUAUAUGCAGCUAAUAUUGUAAUUAUUAGCAAUGAUCCCAGUGCUUAUUAGUCAACAGAAAUUUCAAGAUAUAUUAGCAAUUUGAGGGAGAAAAGGUUUCUGUUCAAUUUAUUCUCAUGUUAGCCUGGGUUUUUAAUUGAUUAUUAUGCUUUGUAGGUUUGUUCAUUUAGUCAUUUGAUUUUGUUGGUCAUUCGGAACGACCACCUGGAUAGUGUAGAAGUUCAAUUAGUUAUACAAUAGGAUAUAAUAUAUAUGGAUGGAGAGAUAAUGAUAAAGAUAGAUGGAUGAAUGGAUAGAGGUAAAGACAGAUGGAUAAUCUUGGAUUAAAUUUAAUUUUGGUUACGUAUGAGUAGAAACUCCCAAAUUCUAUAAUUGUAUUCACUCACAAGUUCUACUCCCAAAUUCAAUAUUCACUCACAAGACACAAGUUGAUUAUUAUGGGACAACAUAAGGGGAUAGGAUUACCUCCUAGGGGAGGAAAGAAAUUAAAAGUUAAUUUUCAAAAUAGUAACCAACCUCCCCGUAUCAAUGUGUUUUUUCACGUUAAAAAGGAAAAAUAAAUAUCACCAAUCAUGCUAUAGGCCUCAAUUUAGCCCAAAAUAUGCAGACAAGUCUAAAAUCCAUAAUUAACUAAUAAAAAUGGUCCUAAUGUAUUCCAAGCUUGAAAUCAAGAAUCGACCAAUCAAAAUAUUCUUAAAUAAUUACAGGUUCAAUUUAGGACUUAAUGACAAUACAAAAUCCAUACUUAAGCUCAAAAUAUUUGAUUUAAUCUUUCAAUCAAGUCCAUAACGACUCAUGGAUAGCUAACACCAAAUUGGAUGAAUUUCGACAAUUAGGUUUUUCAUAACUUCUCUAACUCUCUUGACGCUUUUGUCAUUAGAUACAAACCACAAAUGGUUCAAUUGUAAUUUGUCUUUGGUAUAUUGAUAGGUUCAAUAUUAUUUUUUUCCGUUCUUUCACUCCAAAGAUUGAAGGAAAAAGAAACUUUAUGUUAAAAAAAUGUAACUUAAAAUUAUAUUUUCUUUUCAUCCUUUGGUCUCUUCUGCUUCUAAUAUUAUCCAGAAAUAAUGAAUUGAGUUCAUAUAAACAUUUUGGAUGCUGCCAUUGAAAUAGUGGUUCUUGCUAUAUUUCACAGGGCCUCACCCAUUUUAUAAAGUAUUUUUUUCCAUGUUUAAUGAUAGUUAAAAAAUAUUCGAUAGUAGUAGUAGUAGUAAAUUUGCUAUAAUUUUGACAAAAAAAUGAGUAUUUUAUUAAACUCACUACAAAUUUCAUAGAAAAAUUUAUUUUUUUCUGCACAAUUUCUUACAAAAUUUGUUUUGUAUUAUAAACUUACAUAUUUUUUCUCAAAAAAAUUACAAUAAAUUUUCCAUUUUUUAAAAUCAGUACCUUAUAAUUUAUUUUUUUAAAAAAAUACCUUUAAGAGUGCUACUAAAUUUCCUUAAAUUCACUAAGAAAUCAUAAAAAAAAUAGUUUUUUCUGCAAAGUUUUUUUUACGAAAUUUUUUUUGUAUAAAAAAAAUUCUUUUAGAUUUUCCAAAAAAAAAUUACAAAUAAAUUUUCCAUUUUUUAUAUAUUCGGUACCAAAUAAAUUGUAAGAAAAACCUUAGGAGUGCUAUGAAAAUAAAGUAAGGAAAAUAUAUUUUAAUAUUAUAAAAGUCAAUUAAUUAAAAAAAUAGUUAAUAUUUGAAUAGUAUCGCUAAAUGCUUAAAAUUAACUAUAACAAAUGAUAUUAUAUAAAUCAUUAUUUUAAUUUGUAGAUUAUAGAUUAUUUUAGCCGUUUCAAUUUGGUUUUUCUCUGCCACUUCCAAAUAUAAUUGAAUUUUCAAAAGUAUAAUUUACUUAUAUAUAUUUUUAUUUGAAUAAAUUUUGGAAGAAGAGAGCUAGGUUAAGAUUAAUGUCUGUCCUUACUUAAAUCCUUUCUAAAAAAGGAACAAUUUAUGAGUGAAAAUUAAUAAGCUUAAACAUUUUAGUCUCAAGAUUGUCUCUAAAUAAAAAUAAAGCAUUUCUAAUUUAAUUGAAUGCAUGUACAUAAGUGAAAGCUACCACACGUAGUUUUGGAUUACAAGGUGUUUAUAGUCCGACAGUUUCUAUGUGAUACAUAAUUGAGUUUUUCAAUUUACUAAAAAAAUUAAUAAUAUUCCCUUAUGUGUCAUAUUAACAUAGAUUGAAAUCAUAGUGGUCCCUAAUCAUAUGCAGAUAAGGCCUCUUGAUGCCAAGACCUUUAAGUAGCUGCCUAUCAUUUUGGAAGCAUGUGUAGUAGGAGGUAUUUCUUAGAAUUUGACAUCGAUGUUUUAAGAGAAUCAGAUGAGUCAUCAAACUGAUAAAGAUAAUGGAUUAAUAGGUCACUAAUCAGAUCAAAAUUUCAUUAAUCAAACUGGUUUAACUUGAUAUAUAUUAAAAAAAUUAUAAAAAAUAUAAUUAAUUAAUUUUAUUUAAUCAUUCAAUACUCUAAAUUUAAAAUGAUUGUCGUUAUAAAAUACCUAAUAUAUCAAAUAGUCAUCAAUAUUCAUGUCAAUGCAACUUUAUAAAUAAGUUUCAAAUACAAACAAACAUUCAAUGUGUUAAAAAUAAAAUUAAGUUUACAAAAAAUUUAUAUAUAUAUAUAUAUAUAUAUAUAUAUAUAUAUAAAAUAACACUUGAUUCAAUCAAAGACUCAAUGGAUUUAACCUGGACUACACCAAUUCUAAUAUAUUUACGAUCCCGACCGGUGUGUUUAUUGGAUUCCGAUUGAAUUCUGUCCAAUCCGAUUCUUAAAGCAAUGCGUGACAUGCGUCCAAGUUAACCUAUUUUGGUCGAUGGUGGAGGGGAGCGAAUCUUCCGCUCAAUAAUGCAUUUACUUGACCAAUAGUGUUAGUAAUGCAUGCUUGAUUUCUUUAUGCAAGAUUUUGAUUCUGGGCUUUGUGUAUAACAAUAAUUUCUAAUAGAACAUUUAAUCCCAUUAUAUUCUGAAAUUUACACAAAAGCUGAGUUCUAAGAUGGGUUCUGCAAUUCACAUACAUUGUUGCUGAAAUCCAGCAUCAGUACUUCAAAUUCCACUUGUCAUGCUUGAUUACGACGAACGAAUGCCGACACUACGCUGGCUUUGGACCAUAAAUUUAAGUAAAUAAUUAAAACCAGCGUUUUUAAGUUACACACUCAUCAUAUAAUGUGGUCUUUAACAUCUUGAUUGUGACACUACACAUGCUAUAAUUUGCAUGUAUAGUGAUGCAAUUUGACCGUAGAAGUAAUUUUAACGUUACUAUUAAAUCCUUUUUUCAACUUGCCAAGGCUUGUGGGGUUGUCGCAUUUAAUAUAAACAUGUCUUGAAGUUUCUCACAAGAUAAGGAGUGUCCCCUCUCAUUGAAAUUUAUAUCGAACUUUUGACUUUUCAAUAGAAAAGCAUGAAAUUUAUUGAAUUUGAAAUUUAAAAAAUGUUUUUUUUAACCGAGAGACAUUGAAAUAUUUUAUUUGUCACUCAACUAAUUUUCUUUUAUCAUAUGGUCCCAUUUUAAGAUAAAAUAAUAUCUUUAAUUAUAACUUAAUUCUCAAGUUAGAGAUCAAACAUUAUACCUUAAUUAGUUAAAAAUCCAACUGUGUGAAAUCACUUCUAUCAACAACGAAUUUUGGCCCAUCUUGUGCUAACAACUAAGUUGUUAUUAAUUACUAUACAGAUUGCGUCUAGGUUCUUCAUUUACAAUACCAUGGGACCUAGGAGUCUCAAUCCCUUUUGAAUAAUCCACACCAAACUUUGGCAUAUAAUACAAUGACAAAGCAAGUCAUUAAUGACCUAGAUUGAGACCUAGCACCUACACCGAGCCCUUACUAGUAUAAAAACCGAACACUAAGUGUGAGUUAUGCACACCAACACCAAAACAAACCCACUAAGAUGGCUUCCUUUGUAUCCUUCCUAGUGCUGCUUCUUGCAGCCCUUAUCCUCAUGCCUCAAGGGCUUGCUACUUACUACAAACCAAUUAAGAAGCCACCAGUGUACAAGCCUCCAGUGUACAAGCCACCAGUGUACAAACCACCGGUUUAUAAGCCAAAACCACCGGUUUACAAGCCGAAACCACCGGUUUACAAGCCACCAUAUAAGAAGCCACCAUACAAGAAACCACCUUAUGGAAAGUACCCUCCAGUAGAGGACAACACCCAUGCCUAAAGCAAGCAAUGAGGUCUAUUAUCUACUUAAUAAAUAAGAGGAACUGCUUUGUGUUUUCUAGCAUUGUGACUUACAACUUCGUAGCAAUGCAUAUUCUUGACUCUUGCAUGCACUUCAAUCCUUCGUAGCAUUAAUGAUGUGGCCAAGUCAUCAUGAGCAUCAUACUUAUUUCUUUGUGAAUGUAAAUCAAAAUUAUAAGAGAGAAAAUGGUGCUUUUGUACUACAGAUUACUAUAAAUAAAAAACUUUUAUGGUUUUCAGAUUGUGCUGGUUGAUUGAUUUGCUCUACCAUUAAUUAUGACGAAACGUAGUUUUUUUUUUUCUCUUUUUUAAUCCGUAAAAAUAAAAAAAAUAAAAAAAUAAAUUUAUAAUAAUUCACACUUUAUUUAAUUAAUCGAAAUAAAUUCCAUAAUAGAUGAUACAUAGUUUGACAUACUAUUGUUAAGCUUAAGAUUAAAGAUCGACCCUAUGUUGCAACUAAACUUUCUACAAUCAAUUUUAUAAAUUGGAUUGGUGCAUGUAAGUCUAGCUAGCUAGAGGCAGAAGAACAGUACUAGAGUAGUAGAUGGAAGCCACUCUCCACGCACCUCAAAUAACUCGCAAUUAAACUUGAGCAUAACAUCAAUAGCGACUUAAGUUAAUUUCAAUUAUGGGCUCUAUUUGAACAAAUUUCUCUAUAAAUAUUUCCAGAAGAAAAUAUUAAGAAAACAAUAAAUUGAACUUCUCAUUUAAGUUAAAAUAAACAUAUUUGUAUAUUUUUUAUAUAAAAACUCUCAUUUAACUUCUCUUAAAAAUAUUGAAGUAUAUAAAUUAAUUUUAGCUUAUGAAAAAAAAAAUCAACUUAUUUUAAUUUUCUAUUCUUAAAAAGCCAUAGUUAUAGUUAAUGUGUACAAAGACCAGUUCCUACGAGAGUUGCUGUAUCCUCCUAAACCAAAUAUCCGAAUACUCCUACUCAGUAAGAAUAUUUUGAUAUCUGUUAAUAAUUUUAUAAUAAAUUAUUUAUUUAAUUUGACAUUUUAAUAUUUAAUUUCUUUCCAAGUUUACCCCUUUUCCAUAUGACCAGUCAACUUAUCCUCUUCAUUCGACUUUAAAAAGAGUGGGUGGUGGUGCGGUGAAGCUGAAAACCACACACAAUGAUGGUGGUGGAGAAUGUGAAAAUGGUUGUGGUCGGAGAAGGAGGUACAAGGGACAAAGUUAACUGAGGAAAAAAAAAACUCAGCGUGAGAGAGGGUCUUUUGAAAAAAAGGACAAAUUUGGAAAGGAGAAAAAAAGUUAAAAAGUGUGUUAACAAGUGUGAAUGCUUAGGUGAUUCAGUUACUUUUUCGCCACAUAUGAUCGGAGGAAUAAACAUUUCUCUUUUUCAUAUUACUAUUUUUGUAUGUUUGUCUACACGUACAUGUGGACGGUUAUUUGUAUCAAGUAUCAACUACAUAUGGGUGUCAAAAUUUAAAACUGAACCGAAUUUAAUGAAUUGAUUCAACAACUCUAAUAUAUAUGUGAUGUGAUUUGAAUUUUAAUAAUUUGCGUACGAUUUUAAUUUAAUUUUGAACCUACUUCAGUACAAAAAUUUACGUAUAAUCUUACUACAAGUACUUAAGUCACCACAAUCAUCUACACUCACAUCUUGAAAAAGUGACAUUGAUAGCAAAUUCAUGAAGUACUCACAGCUAACGUCAUUUGAUGGUUGAAUGAACCCCUCAGCUACCCAUAGCUGAAUGAGUGUUCUCUUAUCAAACUCAAAACCUUUUGGAAACAAUGAACAAUAAGCAAAACAGUUUUCCAAAAAUGAAGGAAGAUGGUCAAAACUCAGUUUAAGGAUUGCAAAGAUUUUGUCCUUCUCUUGAUCUAUCUUUGAAAACCCAACUUCCUUAGAGGCUAUUACUAUGCGCACCCAGCAUAAUUACUGGUACAUCCAGCAUAACAGCAUAAUUCCCGUUUUGUCCUUUCCUAAAAUUGAUACAAAUUGUCAAUUCAUAUAAGAUUUACGGAUUGUCCAAUCUGUAAGUAGCCCAAAUAUUUUUUUAAUUUUUUUUUUAAAAAAAUAUGUUUUAUGAAUUAAUUUAAAAUUAAUGAUUCAUGCAAGAAUCAAACUUAUAACUUUCACGUUAUUAACACGACAUUCUAACCAAUCUCAAUAUUCUUGUCAACCCUUUUAAGUUAUUUUCUUUAUGUUAGUUUUUAACCGAUGUUGAAAGUGCCGAUGUUGAAUGUAUUAUCGUUAACAUCGGUUUUAAAAAAACUGAUGUUAACGUUAAUUUUACAACAUCGUUUAUUUAAAUAACCAAUGUUGAUAAUAAGAAUUACACCCAAAAAAAUGUAUUAAUGUUGAUAGUUAACAUCGGUUUUUUGGAAAAAUCGAUGUUAACGUAACUUAACAUCGGUUUUUUUAUAUAAAAUUGAUGUUAACGUAUGUGUUAAUGUUGACAGUUAACAUCGGUUUUUUGGAAAAACCAAUGUUAACGUAACUUAACAUCGGUUUUUUUACAGAAAACCGAUGUUAACGUAUGUGUUAAUGUUGACAGUUAACAUCGAUUUUCUGUAAAAAAAAAGAAAACCGAUUUUAACGUACGUUAACAUCAGUUUUUUCCAAAAACCCGAUGUUAACGUAUGUGUUAAUGUUGACAAUUAACAUCGGUUUUUCCAAAUAAUCGAUGUUGUUUUCAGGAUUUUUUUUUAAAUAUUCUCUCUGUUUUUACAAAAAAAACCAAAAUUUAACCUGUAAAUUUAAAAUUAGACCACACAGCAUAUAUGAUUUGCAUUUUGCUUUCAAAUAGGUUUUAGCAGAAAACUAGCUAGUAAACUAUUAAAAUGAAACAUCAAUUGUAAAAAAUGUAAUGCAAAGUACGGUAAACUAAUUAAGUAACCUAAAGUUACAUAGUUCCCUAACAUCCUAUGUUUGAUUUCUAACUUUUAGAUAAUAUUGUGCCCACUGCAUGUGAAGCGCCUUGAAUCUCUCUGCUUCCAAUGAUCUAACAUCAUUAAAAUACUGGAUGAUCAAAUAAAAGAUAAAUUAAUGAUGUAAUAACAAUGAUAAGAAAAUCAACUUUGUUUGAAAUAAACAAUUACCGUUUCUCAAUUAUUCCUGAAAGUUCCUGAGAUUAUCGUGGACAUCUAGUGCAUGACGUAAUAGCUGUACUCAGUGUUUCGUUUUUGUCUAUUACACUAAAUACAUAAUGAAAUUUGGAUAUUAAUUAAGCGUUAACUACAAUUAGUGUACACACACAUAAGCAGUAUAUAUAAUUAGAAGUUUAAUUUAAAUCACGUACCUUAACAACAAUCCACCUAGCCGCAGCCUUGGAUUUAGGUUGUGGAGUAUCAUCAAGUCCUUUCAAAGCACUAUUGAAUACGAGGAACAUUAAAAUAUUGAUGUUGUUGAGUUAUGCUAAUGCAAAUAUAUUGAAAACAACAUUGACCUGUUAAUUAUUCCCUUAAGGUAGUUGUCUGGCCUGUUAUGUAAAGAACAAAACCAGACAACUAGGUUUUCCUUAGGCAAAAUGACGACCAUUUGCCAGUGUCCGCUGCAGUGGAGACGAAUAUGGGCUAUUGUAAUAGUAUAGAUUAUUUAAAUUCAGUUGUUGUGUUUGACUUACCAAUUCAGGUAAGCUCCAAGGUAAACAUCGCGUUUUGAACCCUGCAUCCAACUCUUGAUGUAACUUUUCGAUUCAAAUUGUGAUUGCCCAAAUCUCUGAAUGGACUGUGGCUCGAGAAAUCCAUACACAUCGGAAUUCCCCGCUCACAUACUUGUCUCAGUCAGAUGCCUGUGUUGUUAAGACAAAGUUAAUUAUGUAUGAAUUUAAAACAAUUACUUUGUUAAUUAACAGUAAUCUAAAUUGACUUACAAAAUUCACAACUGUAUAACAGAGAUGCUGAGACAUUGACCACCGUGUGCUAUUUCAUACAGAUCUUCAUGCUUUAUGUACAAGGGAAAGUCUGAAUUAAACAGCCCGAACAGGGAAGCAUCCCACAUAACCUUGAGAGGCUUCAAAAACAAUUGUGGGAUGGUCAAUGUCAUCAGAUGCAGAGGAUCAUCGACCUCACGAUCCGGGCUUUUUGGAGGUUUUGCUAGAGACACAACUGCCUGUUAAUCAAACAUAGUUAAUUAACAAGUUUUGAUUACAGUGAACAAAUCAAUUGAAAAAAAGAAACAUAUAAUCAGAGUAAAAUACCUGUUCUGAUAAACGUUUCACGAGAUGUAUCGGCCAAGCAAGGAAGGUGUUAAGUGUCUGCCCCACUAAGGUAACCUUGUCAAUGGGUACAGGAACGGGAGUCUCUGCAUCUUUAACCUCCUCAACACCAACCUUCACUUGGCCAUGCAACAAAGGGAUGUUAUGAACCACUGUGGAUCCCUCAUAAAGUCUUCCUAGGGCAACCAAGUAGGAAGGAUUUUCUUCAAUUUACAGCCCGCAUUUGUCUGAGUCAUCCGUCUCUGGAUCGUUCCCUGAGGAAUCAACACAACUCUUCUUUGUGCUGACACGAGCACUUGAGGGACCAACCUUUGGCUCCGGAGGCAGUGUAAAUCCCUGUGAUUGCAUCUGAGACUGAAACUGGGACUGCAUUUGGCUGAAGGAUGCCAUCACCUGCUGAGUAACUUUUUCUGUGAUCGACUCCUCCAGCUAGUCCCUGAUUUGUUGGGUUAACUGUUGUAGGUCUUCAGGAGGCAUAGAGGAAGAACUACGGGACAUUCGUGUAGCCAAUCCGAAAUAUUGCUUUAUGGUCACAUCAGCUCCAGCAGCACGGACACGGCCAGGGUGCUCUGAUCGCCCAAUGACAACAGUCAGGACAUCCUGACGUCUAUGGGGGACGAACGAUCCCUGUGACGCCUGCUCCUCCAAAGAAUCCUGUACAUAACACAUAUAUCUGUCCAAGGCAUUCACAAAAUACACAAAGAUAAUUACAAUUCUUAAUUGAAAAUGACUUACAAUCUUCUCAGUUAUUUCCUUUGUUGCCUCAGACGUCAUCGGCCCAGUUUUCUUUGUGUAGACCAUUUUUCACUUCAUGUGGCGUCUGAUGGGAGAUGGAGGGUCAAUGACGCCCUCAGUGCUUUCGGAUUGGGCAGCUUCCUCCAGUCUUUUCUUUGUCUUCUCAGCCAUAAGCUUUUGUUCUAAAUAUUCAUAACCCCCACGAAACAACACGUGGGGGGCAGUGUUUUGCUUCUGGAUGACUUGUGUUUUUUUCCGCACAUCCUGCAAAAAUCGAACAUUAAUGAAAAUGAUUACUACAAUGAAUUAUAAGAAGUUAUUUUUUUUGUGGAAAACAACUAAAAUGACAAACUACAUACCUCCCACGAGGGGUCUCUGCGGGUCUGACAAAACUUGGCCCAUUUCUCCUUGCUAAUGUCGCAUUUUUCACAGACAGUGUCGUCCACACCGUCCUUGUCGGCUGCAAGUGCCCAUUUCCUGGUCAAGUCAGAUUUAAACUGCCUCCACGGCUUGUCGACAGUCUGAAGAAUUUUCUUCUUUGUCCUACUGUUAGAAGCUUCAGGGAUUUCAGAUGUUAAGAUCAAGUAGUUAACAUCGGUUUUGACAUCGGUUUUGAAAAAACCGAUGUUAACUAACUCGACUUAUUUACAAAAAUGUCAUCGUGCUUUUCUUAACAUUGGUUUUUUAAAAAAUCGAUGUUAAUCGUGCGAUGUUAAAUCUAUAUUUUGUAGUAGUGUUUAGGUAUCUCAUAAAUUAGUCAAUUUUAUUUUGAGUUCUUAAAUUUUUUUCUUUUUAUUUGAUCCUUGAUAUUUUAUUUUUGAGUUCAUGCCGUUAAAAAUUUUAAAAUGCAAUUUUUUACUACUAAAAAUAAUAACAAUGUAAAUUUAUUUAAAAUAUUAAAUUACCAUUUAUGGCAAUUCAAUUGGAAAAAAUGAAGUAGAUAUGAUCAAAUAAAACCUUACAGACAAGACGAAGUCUAAGGUGGUCAAGUGAGUUAGGUGAUUUCUGGUGGUCAAAUAAUUUUUUGCCAAUAGAUUUAUUAAUAAAAUAUUAAACCAUUCAGAUGAAAUCUUUUUGUCAGUUUUUAACAAUUAAAAUUAUUUCCUCCCUUGUCUGUCGUGCACCACCAUUGGCAACACGUCACUACCUUGCUUUACUUUCCACUCUUCUUCUUUCCCUCUAUUUCCCUUCGUACUUUGACACCUCCGUAACCUCACUGUCAUGUUGUUGAAUUCACAUCCUUGAUUUUAAUUAUGACAAACCAUUAGCAAAACAAAUUGAAAGGAUGAUGGGUUUAAGUGAUGGCUAACAUUUCUCCCAAGCGUUUUAGUGUUUAUUCCUUAAGAAGCAUAAGUGUUCUUUCAUUCUGAUGUACUUAGAAUGAUGCUUAGAAAGGUUCGAAGAAUUGUUGUGAGAGUUGAAAACUUAGAAGAAUCCUUAAAGCCCAUCAAAAUGAUGAAAUUUGCUUCCCUUUGAAUACUUAGUUCUUGGCAAGAUACUGAACAACCUUACAUAAAAGAUUCAUCAAAAGAUUCAUCAAAGGCUACCAGAAGAACAUCUUGGUUUAGAAUGAAGUUAUGCAGAGUCUACAUAGAAUGACAAACACCUUGACUCUGAGUUUCUAAACAUCAGAAUGAUUCAGAAAGACUCAUAAUGCAUCACUUAAACAAUAUUAGAAGAUUAAAGUUUCACAUUUCUUCACUUUGCAUAUGCCACCACAAUCACUGUAGGCACGUUAGAAAGUAAGAAUUGACUGCAUAAAAAGAUGUAAAAUUGUUGAAUGAUGAAGUUGUCCAUGAGAAGCAUUAAUGUAAACCAUCAGAUUGAAGGACUAAAGAAAACUACUCAGCCUGACCAUAGACAAAACACUAACACACCAACAACUCAAUUUCUACUAAGUCUUUCUAAAGUAAAUCAACUUAAGAAUGUUUCAAAGUUGUGAACAAGUGUUAAGAGUGAUGAAGUUGUACGACUUCGGAUUGAAAUUUCUAUCUAAACUUCGUCAAAGGAAUUCAUUAAGCAUGGACUCAUUCUUUACAAACAUCAUAAUGACUAUUGUGAUGGUUCUUCAGAAUCCGCAUAAAAAAAGUUCCUCAGAAUGGUAAUCUCCAAAUGGUUUUGUCUACUGUCACUUCAUGAUAGUUAUAAGGUGAACCUACUUGCUCCAGAAAUGUUUCAGUUGUGUGGAGCCCACUACAAUGAUUUUCUUGGGAGCUUUAUAAGGAAUUUUAGAAGGCUAUGAAGAACAAGUUGAAGCAUUCCAAAUUUGUAUCACAUUGUGCAAGUCCUUUGAGUAAGAAAUUUGUGUUUUAGCUUCAACCCUCUCUGUUAGAGUGACCCACUUUUGUAUUGUGCUUUCAAAGCUUGUAAUAACCUUAGAUAGAAAUGAGAGAUUAAGUUCUUGAGUGGAAUCCCUCAUGUGAGGUGAAAAUCUUUAGCAUGUGUCGUAAAACCAUAGAUAUUUUUUUUUUAUGUAAAGUCCAAUAGUGACUAGCAAAGGUGAAAUCCAGUGGUGCAGCUGGUCUAGUAGAAGAUUGAAGUCUAGUAAGGAAUUGACAAGGUUGUGAAACCCAAUGGUUGUUGGUCCAGUUGUGAAUUGGUUGUGUUACUGAAAUAACAUCUUUAAGGGUGAGGAUUGGACGUAGCCCAAGGUUGGGGUGAACCAGUAUAAAAACCUUUGUGCACUUUCUUCUCUUUCUCUAUAUUUUGUUCUUGCACAAAUCUAAAACUACUUUUGUAUAAAAUACUAAAUUUGUUAACUUUUUAUCUUAACAACUAAACUAAGUUUUGUUUUAUCAAGAGGUAUUAGUAAAGAACUAUCUUUAAAACAAAAGUCUUAAAACUGCAAAAGAACUAUUUUUUUGAAUGGUUUGCAUUUUCAUUCUGAGUUGCUUGAAUUUCCAUUCUAAGCUCAUAACAGUUUUUAUAUUCUGAACUACCAUAAAAAAAACCUUUUUGUUUUCAAAGGAAGAUUAAAAGUUUUCAAAACCCCAAUUAAACCCCCAUUUUUGGUAUUUUUCUCACUUCAAUUAGCAUCAAAGUUUAAAUGAGUUAUUCACGAGCCCUUAAUGUCAAGCUUUCAAAGCUUGAGUUUGACUCAUUUAAAUAAUCAAGCUUAAUCUCAAGCUUAAAUUUGUUUGUUUAAUUAAACAAAUGAACUUAAAUGAUUAAUUAACAAGUUGAACUUGAAUAGUUCACAAAUAGUUUGUCUUAUUCACAUCCCUAACUCUUCAUUUUUUUAUCCAUAGGAAUUGAAUAAGAUAUAAAAAAAUUUAGAACACUCAGACACCCUGCUUAAUCAACUAAGUUAGACACCUUUAGUCCCUAACUCUUCAUAUGGUUAUAAUCAUAUUCUAGUAACAAUAUGUUUCAUUUCACUACCUUACUAAAUUACAGGACUGACUUCAUUAUUUUGCAACACCCUUUACAUCACAUCAUUCAUUCAUAAAAUUUGCAUUAGUUAAAUAAAAUUAUUCAUCAUCAACAACUAUGUAAUGUAUACCACCAUGCAAUCAAAGGAUAAGCAAUUAAGAAAAUAUUUAAGCUUAUAUAAUCCAAGUAGCAUGAUUGCCUUAAUUGGUACAUAAUGCAAGGCAUAAAAACCAAAAAGUGGCAGUAUGUGUAAUAACAAAAUGAAACAAAGGAAGGAGAAAAAAUUAUUUGUGUGUUACAAAUAAAGAGGAGGAAGAAGGAAUAAUUUAAAAAUAACUCCAUAUAUUAUUUGUUCUAUUAUUUUAUCCAAUGAAUUGUGAAGAAAAUAGAUGCAUUAGUAACUAAUUAUCUAUAAAAUUAUAUGAAUUGGUCCAAUAUAUUAUUUAUUUAUUUUGUAAUUGAAGAAUUUUCUCAUGAUUAACUUAGAUGAAUAAUGAAUAAGUUAAUUAUUUUGUUGCUCCUAAUUUAACCUGGUGUGUCUAUAACUCAUGGUUCAGGUUGACCCAUUCUCUUAAUCUAACUUUGUUUGUUCAUUGAGUUGCUCUUUAAUAUGGGUGGGCUUAUUAUCAACAUGGCCAGUAAUAAUGGGAAUUGAAUCAUGCACUCUCAUAAGUGUAUCCUAGAUCCCACUAUUCCGUUUGAAAUUAUUUGAUUGCCUUUAAUCAAUUAGCACUAUCUUCCCCAACCCAUUCGCGAUGUCUCCCUCCUACGAAGGUUGCUCCCUUCCUCCUUCGUCUCAAACCUGCAUAUCCUCGUUCCCUUCCUUCUUCGUCAUUGAAGGCAAGCUUCUUCCUUUCUGGUGGGGUUGGGGUUGGGUUCUGGUAGGGAUGGGUUUUGGGGGUGGCUUCUGGUAGGGGUGGUUUCCGGUGUGGAUGGGGUCGCAUUUCAAAAUGCUCAUUCUGUAACCAAAAAAUGCUUUCGGAAUGAGCUUUCCAUAAGCAAAAAAAGCUUCAAUUUUUCAUAAGCCAAAAAAACAUUCAGAAUAGUUGUUCUGGAAGUACUUUAGCUUAAGCAACGACUAUUCCAUAAGCAAAUUUGUAAAUCCAAAACAUCCUGUCUAGAAGUGUAUUUUAUAUAUUUUGUAAGGGGGGUUCCAAAAAUUAGUAUUGGGCUUACAAAAAGCCCAUUAUGGAAGCAACAUCUGCAAUCCAAAGUAGCCUUUCCAAAAGUGUAUUUUGCAUCUUUCAAAAAGUACGAUUUUGGCUUAUGGAAUGACCAUUUCGAAAACAAAAUUGCAAUCCAUAAUAGUUUUUUGGGAGUACAUUUUGUACCUUCCAAAUGUUCAUUUGAGACAACAAUAUUUUUACUUACGAAAUAGGUGUUCCAUAAGAUUUUUCCUUCUGAAAUGGUCAUUCCAUAAGUGAAUUUAUCCCUUACGGAAAGCCUAUUUCGGAAACAAGUUUACAACAUGAACGUGAAUGCACGUUAAAAUGUACCUGCAAAGUGGAGAGUUAGAGAAGGAGAGGGACUUUUGCGGUGUUGAGUUGGACUUGCUUUGUACCUUCAAUGGUUGCGAGAAAAAGAGUUGGAGAAGAUAAGAAGAACUGGAAAAGGGGUUUAGACUUGCGCUAUAGGAAGAGAAGAACGAGAAUGGGCUGCAACUACGAGAGAAAGAAGGGAAACCGAGGAUGAGGAUAGAAAGGGUAGGUUGGGGUUUAUUAAAAAAUGGGAGAUGCAUGAUACAUUUAGGGAGGUGCAGAAUUCCAGUAAUGACCAACUCAAGUCCAAUUAAUGGUGACAUCAUAAGUUAAUGACUUAGUGUCACUUUUGAUCCAUUAUGUUUCGCAAUUAUUUUGUUUUAAUACAUUGAGUUUAAAAUGUUUCAUUCCAAUCCUUUAUGUUUUUGAAAUAUAUUGUUUUGACUCUUUUUCUAAUUUUCUAUUUGAAAUGUUAGUUUUUUGUUAAUAUUUAAAUUUCAAAAUAAUUAAUUUAUGACAGUGGUGAUUAAAAAUCGUCACAAUAUUUAAAUUAAUUAUCUUAUUAUAAAUAUAAUUAUUUAAACAUUAAUUGUAGCAAUUUUUAAUUCCAACAAAUUUCUUAUUAAAUUUUUAUAAAUGAUUCUUCAUCCUUGAAGAUUCAAUCUUCAUUCCACAAAUCAACAAAUGCAGUUUACAAAUAGCAAGAACAAUUUUUAUUUGCAAGAAACAUAGAGAUGUUCACUCAAUAAUGAUAUAAAACUUGUUCUUUUUUACACAACAAAACACAAUGAGCCCUUUUUUUUUUUAUCACAUAUGACGAAAGCAACAGCUCCAGGGUCAUUAAUUAGCUUUGCAAACGGGAUCUGAUAAUCACAACCGUGGUUGAUAAUCCUCCAAUGUAAUUUGUGUUUAUAAAUUUUAUUUUUUACUCCUUUAUAUACUAUUCAUUUUCUAAAAAAGAUUACUCAUGUAUGUAACUAAAGAUUAUAUUUUUUGUUUCUGUUUAAAAAAAUGUUUUCUUAUGUUAAUUUUUUUUCUUAAUCGAUGCUUUAAUGAUAUAAGUAAUUAACUAUUUGCUCCUGCAAUGUAGUUUAAGUGUUAUGCUACAUUGUUAGUUUUUAUAUAUGCAUGUGGGAAGGUUCACUUGGAACAAGUUGCAGUGCAAACUUGGAGUCUAAUAUACAUAUAACCAUUAAUGGAAGCCUUCAUUCCAAUAGACAAUAUAUAUAAGUUGUUUCGUGCUUAUAAAAUUGUAAUGUUUUUUGUAAAGGAUGUUUAAGUGUGUCAAAUAUGUUAUAGCAAGGCAAGGUACGUAGCAGUAAACUUUAAAUGAUGAGUCAAGCAUUUCCAGUAAAUCUACUCUAAUUGCAUGUUUACAUUGAAAUUUUAAAGUAUUAUUCAUUUUAUGUUAGUAGUCCUACAGCUGGCUACUAGCUAGCAUGAAUGUUUAUGUUGUUAUUUUGUGGAGAAAGUCAAAUAAUUGUUUUAGGUGAUUAAUUUCACGCAUUUAGAUAUGGAUGCUGAAAAUUCUUAAGUCAGACUUUGAAUUGUUUCAUGUUCAUAUUAAUAUUCAUAUAAAGAGAUAAACAAAUAUGUAACUUAGCUCUAUUUUUGUUUUGGUGAAUUAGCUCUAUUUAUUAUAGUCUAAUAAUAAUGGCUGCAUGUUGGACUAAAUAGCAGAAAUAUACUUUGCGGAGAUCAUUAAUUGUGAUCAAAAUUGUGGCAUUUUUUUAUUACCACUCAUAAAAUUAUCACCAUGAAAACCCUACUAAUUACGCAUUUAACGAUCCUCAAUUAUUUCAGUAAAAUAAAUUUUUGUCUACCUUAAUUUUUUUUUUCUGUAAAAUUCUCCUAUAGUUAAAUUUACAAUAGAAAUUUUCAAACGAUACUUUUUUUAAGUAAAUAAUUAAUUAAAUUUAUGCAAAAUAAUUAAAUUAGGUCAUAUCAAAUUUAAUAUGAAUUAGAUUAUUAUUUUAAUACUUAUUUACUUACAUAAAAAUAUUUAUUUUUUAAAAAAUAUAAUUAUUCACAUGAGAUUUAUAGCAAAUAAUUUUUUAACUUAAUAUUUUUAUAACUUAUUACAACUUUUUUAAACAUUAUACACCAUUGUUUUAUUUUUUGCAAUUUAUUUUUCUGUAGUUAAGGUACAACUUUGAUGAGGAAAAUGGACCAAUAUUAUAGAUAAAUCACAUUAGUCAAAAAAAUGUGAAUAAGAUGAUUUAUUAAAAAUCAUAUCACCAUUAAUUUAAUGUUUUAUAUAAAAGACAGGUUUGAUAAUGAGUUUAUAGUUUAGGAAAUUUAAAUUAAGUGAAGGGUAAAAUGUCAUGAAUAAGUUUGAAAAUUCAUAUCUUAUUUUUAGGUAUUGAGAGAAGGAUAAUGAAUUUUAAUGAUUUUAAUAUUGUUUAUUUGAAUUUGUGCAUUCGUUCAAUGAAUUUUAUUUUUCAAUAAAAAUAUCAAAUGUAGAAAAUAAAAUAAAAGAUUUUUUCUUUUUCACUAUUUUGAUUCUUAAUUUCAUAAAUAUUUUAAAUAAAUUUUAUAUUAAAAUUAAAAAUAUAAUAAAAAUAUUUGUUUUAAUCAAACGUGUUUUUAUUUUUUAUAUGAUUUUGAAAAGAAAUUAAAAGAGAGAAAAUACAAAAUUUUACUCACAAUAUAAAUUUUUUUCAUGAUAUAAAAAAAGAAAAUAGGAUUAAUAAAAUUUUGUAUGAUAAAAUAAUUAAUAGUAAAUUUAUUUAUUCUUUCUUUUACUUAUCAUUAUUUUAAAAAUAUAUAAAAUUUCAUCAAAAAUAAAUAUAUUGUAAUUCUUCCUCAAGUUAAAUGAUAUAUAAAGUUAUAUUUUCUUAACUCUAAUUUUUCUUUAUAUAUAUAUAUAUAUAUAUAUAUAUAUAUAUAUAUAUAUAUAUAUAUAUAUAUAUAUUUUGUUAAAUUUCCCUUUACUUCCAAAUAAAUAAUAAUUUUCAUUUUCCAAAACAAAAUUAGGUGAAGAGAUGAUUUGGAAAAAUAAGUAAAAUUUGAGAUAAUUAUUUUUAAUUAUAUAAAAAUUUCUAAACAAAAAUUGUAAAUGUUUAUCUGUCAUUAUUUUUCUGAAGUUUUAAAGUUAUUGUUUAAAAAAAAUUACACCUCCUACACAUAAUUUGUCCAGUGUGUCGCACAGAAACAUGUACUAGUGUAUGAAUAUAAGAAUAACACAUCCUUAUAUAAGUAAUUUGGUGUGAUCAUUUAUAUUUUCUUUUUCUUUUAUGUGAUUCUCAUCAUAUAAUAUAAACGGUAAUAUUAAUAUAUCGUUAGUUUGAGUAAAAUUAAGUUUAUUUUUUAAAAAUAAAAUCUAAGAUUCAAAUGUUAUAAAUAAAUAAAAAAUAUGAUUAAAAAAAAGCCAUCUAAUUUUUUUUGACAAAGGUUAAUGAUAAGUUUAAUCUGAGCAAUAACAUGACAGUAGAAGCAACCGACUGCAACUCGUCUACUUGAAUAUCUUCCUAAUAAUUGUUUCAACUUUCAAGCCUCGUGUGCUUUGACAUUUAUGCUCCAUAUCCUGAAAAUUUUGAUAAGAUAAGGGACCAAUCUAUACACAGUCCCAAGGAGAUUUGCAAGUAAGAAGAGAAAAAAAUAAAAUUCCAGACCCAUUGUUGGUGAAGGCGAAAUGUGUAGUGGGUUGUCAACGCAAUGCAAUGGUUCACAGUGUGCUGGUCUUAUUGAUGUUUUUUGGUUGCAGGUUCAAUGGUGGUUCUGAUGUAGAGAAGAAGAUGAAAGGGCCAAGGAGGAGAGAAUGGAACAGAGGAAGAAGAAGAGGGUAGAUGAGGAAAGAGAGAAAGAAAAAUCCAAAAAGAAAAUAAAAAUCCCAGCCAUUGAUUUUAAUUUUAAAAUAUCUAAUAAUUUCAAUUAGUUUCCCACUAUGCCAAUCUCGUAAAACUUUCGUCUGGCACCGUGCCUCGCUGUUGAAGGGUUCCCAUGCUAGCAUCUGCCAACACGAUCUGACAUUUCAACUAGGGGUGGGUAUAUCGGUCGGUUUAGUCCGUUUAAGAUCUGACAUGUGAAAUCAAUAUUUUAAGCUUAUUGGGUAAAUCUGGUUGUAAAAUAGAAAGAUUUUUUUUCUUUUUUUUAGAUUUAUAUUGGUUUCCUAAUCCGGUAAAUAAACGAAUUGGUCCGUGGGUUCAAUUAAUAAUUUAAAAAUAAAAAUAAAAAUAUAUUUUUAAUUAUUUGGUAGGUUCGCAAGCAAGAGAGGGGCAACACACGUCAACUGAAGAAGAGAAAGUAAUCUUGUGGAUCUCGUGACAGAAUGAGAGCUGGAGAAGGAGUGAGAGUUAAAAAGAAGAGACUGCCAAGUAUAAAGUCUCAACUCAAAUACUAAAUUUAUGUAAUUUUUAUUUUAAAAUUAAUUUUAUCUUAUUAGUAAAUCUGUGUAUAAAAUUCGUUAAAUUUGCAUACUUAACGAAUCAAACUCAAAUAUUAUUUAUAAUUAUAUGGAUUUAUAAAAAAAUAAAUUGAUAAUAUGCUCAAUCCACGAAAAUAACGGACCGUCCCCGCAAACCUGAAUAGUCAUCCCUAAUUUCAACGGAGUGGAAAGUGGGAAACCAUGAAACUUGCUACGUACUGUGAAAUUAAAAGGUCCGUACUAAUGUACGAAAUUAAUAAUCUUCUCCUCCCUUGUCGUCAUUUCUCACCUCAUCAUAUACAUAAUAAUACAUUAGUACUUUUUUAGGAGGACAGGCCAUAUAUAUUUUUAACACAUUUUUAAUAUUAUUUGUUGUUAAUUAGUUUUUUAAUAAAUUAUAAGUUAAGUUAAAAUUUAUUAAAUUUACAAAACUAUAAGAAAAAAACAUUAAAUAAGAUGUAGGAUCUACAAAAUUUAUAAUUUAUAAUAAAUUUUAACUAAUAAAUUUUAACUAACAAAUUUUCAGCAUUUUUCUAUUCUUUUAGACUACAAGUAUUGAUUAAGUUAAAACAACCAUGUGUUAAUGGUUCCUAUAGUAAUAUUAUUAGGAUAGAAUAUAAUUAUUUUUGGUACAAAAAUACAUGGGAUUUAGAUAAAAAAAAAUCCUGUUAAUUAAUGUUACAAGAUACAUUAUUUAAACAUUUAAAAAUUAACAUUACAUUUAGCAUUUCAAGUUUUCAACGGAGUAGAAAGUGGGAAACGAUGAAAUUUGCUACUCUUAAUUUAAAAGGUUCGUACUAUAAAUUAUAAUGAGAUUCGUCUUUACUUUCGCACCCUCUAUACAUUAUAGUAAUUUAAAGUGCAUGUGAUAUGGUAUGCGAAUAUUUCUACCUGUUGUUUAAAAUUUAUUUAGAAUAUAGUACGACACUGAAACAUUAUUAUCUCAUAAAAAAAAUUUAUAUAAUUAAAAAUAAAUUUAAUUUAAUACAUUGAUAAUAUAAUUUUUUUAUAUCAUCAAUUAAUUAAAAAUCAUUCUAAAUAUAAAUUUUAAAAUAACUAUUAUAAAAGUAAAAAAAAUUAAUAUACACAACAAUUCAUAAUUAGAUGACAUUGCGUUUUAAUUAAUUCAUUGAAAAUUAGUGCCUUUUAUAAUAAAUAAUCUAGAAGUGAUAUUUAAAGUGGUUUCUAAUUAGUUAUUAGUAUACAUUUUUACAGUAGCAUAGUUUUAAAAUUAAACUUCCAGUAUAUGUUUUUAUUUUCUAGAUAUACAUGCAGAUUAAAAAUAUAUUUUAAAACUAAAGGAGACUUUUUUGUUAUAUAAUAAUAAUAAUAAUAAUAAUAAUAAUAAUAAUAAUAAUAAUAUAAAGUGAGAGAUGGAAAUGUAUGAGGGGACGAUGUUCGAUUUAUUUUUAUGAUGGGAACAUAAUUUUUUAAAAUAAAAAAUAAUUAGAAAAUUUUAUUUAAAAUAUUUUUAUUAUUAAUAUAUCUCUUAUUAAAAUUAUAUAUAUAUAUAUAUAUAUAUAUAUGAGAUUGCUAGCAUACUCUAAUGUUAGAGUAUUUAAAUAACCUACAUCAAAUUAUUAGAAUAAAAAGCUUAACUAUUUAUUUUGUGAUAAUAAAUUUAUUUAAAAAAAUAUGAUAAUUUAAUAUUUAUAUUUUUAAAAUUCAUUUAUUUAUCUCUUCAACUCAUUCUCUCUCCUCUCUUUUUCUCUCACAUCAUUUAAUAUUUAUAUUUUCAAAAUUAAAAUUUAAAAUAUUUACCGAGAGAAUGAAUGAGGAAAAUAAAUAAAUGAGUUUUAAAAAUAUAAACAUUAAAUUAUCAUAUUAUUCUUAAAUAAAUUUAUUAUCACACAAUAAAUAGUUUAAUCUUUGAUCUAAAUAAUUUGGUGUAGGUUAAAUACUCUAACAUGAGAGAGUAAGUUAACAAAUCAUUUUAUGAAUGUACGUAUGGGAAGGAAGAAUGUAAUAGAAAACAAAAAAGAAAGAAAAAGAAGGAAAUUAAAAAUAAUAAAUGUAAUUAAUGAUUUAAGAAAAAAAUAAAAAUAUAGUAUACAAACGAGAAAAUAAUUACAGUCAGACUCAGAAACUGUCAUGAUAUUUAUUCAUCUCUAAGUAAAACAUAAUUUUAUUUUAUUUUAUUUUCCCCUCAGAAUUUUAAAAACUCAAGUGUCUCAUGUAUAGCCAAAAAAACCAUAGACGCAUGGUAGUUGGAGAGCCGAGAGCCUACAAUUAUUUCUGAGACAAAAGAUGGAAGAUAAAGUUUACAUAAUUGUUCUCUCUCCAAUUUCUAUUAUAAGAAAAAAAAUAAUUUCAUAUUAAUUAUAAAAUUAAUUAAUUUUAUUAAAUUAUGUUAAUUCCAAAUAAAAAUAAGUUUUUUAAAAAAAUUAUUUUUCAUUAAAACUUGAUAUCAAACAUAAAAAAAAAAUUAUCCUAUCAAAUGAAAGACAUUUAUUUAAAAAUAGUUUUAUUAAAUACGGUAAAGUUAAUUAACUUUUGUUUAUAUAAAAAAAAGCAAUUUUUUUGUUGCUUAUUAAAAAGACCAGUGGGAGUACUAAUUAAAACAAAACUAUGGCUGCUAUGUAACAUGGCACCAGAGAGUCUCAAUCCUUAGAGAAAUUAAAUACCAAACUUUGACAUUUCACAGAGUGAUGGUAGUAAUAAAUGACAAGGAAUGAGACCCAGCAUGGACCCAGUCCUUUGACCACUAUUAUUGUCCAGCUCAAUUGAAAUUUUUUUAUUAAGAGUUUAACUUAGUUGAAUAUGAUAAAUAAAUUAUUAUAAUUUUUUAAUAUUUAUUUUUAAUUUUUAUGAAUAAAAAACUAUUACAAUCUCAGUUCAUUUUCUUGGGACACGUAAUCAAGUUUAAUAACUAUUUCUCAUAGCUUAAAAAUUCAGUUAUGUCGAGUAUUUAUGUACAAAUUAGUUAGAACAAUAGGCGCGUAUAGUGGUCGCCCUCUAAGACAUAUAAUUGUGAAGAUCGAAGAGAAGCUUUAUACAAUUAUUAAUGAUAAAACUAUCAUUGUUAUAUAACAUGGGGCCAUAAAUGAGUGCAUGGAUUGAAUGAUGCAAAAUUGUUACAACUUAAUUAAUUAUCUUGAGUUUUAAUUUUAAAUAUAUAUUUGUGUUAAAUACUCCGGAAAGAGUUUUAUGUUCAUAAUUAUUAUAUUUAACUUGAACAAUAUUAACUCAACUGAUGAUGCAUAUAUAGUUUAUACAAAAAAUAUAUAUAUAACAUGGGACCUAGGCGAUGGCAAAACGGGUUGGAUCUAUUCGAUCAACCCAUUUUGGGCUUUUUUUUCGAAUUAGGUUGGAAUUUUCAAUCCUUCAACUGCUUUGCUAUGUUUUGAUCCGCUACAAAAUGGGUUGAGAGGAAAGUAGAACGGACCAACUCUCUAACCCGUUUUUUUUAUUAAGAAAUAAUUUUAGUAUUUAUUUUGAUAUUUUAUACUAAUAUUUAUUAAUUUUCAAUUAGCUUAUUUUUUGUCUAAAUAAAUUAUUAUUAAAAAUUUAAGGUAAUACAUUUAAUUUUUUAGUAAGUAUUUAUUAUUUAAUAUUUAUAAAAGAUAAAAUUAAUUAAAAUACAUUUAUAAUUUAUUUUUUUAGUUUUGACAUGACAAAAACGAAAUGAACUGAACACUUUGAAUCUAUAUAUAAAAUACGGGAUGAGAUGGGAUGGAUUGAUCCGUUUUUUAUGGAUUGAUCCCUUUUUGCUAGCCCUAAUGGGACCAAAGAGUCACUAUCCUUUAGAAAAAUUCACACCAAACUUUUGACAUUACAGGCAGGGACAAUGCGAGUAAUAAAUGGCAUAGAAUGAGACCCUAGUCCUCUGGCCACUAUAAAAAGGGAUGAUUGUGUGUGUUACAUGCAUCAGCCACCACCAUUGACUAGUAUCAUUAAGAUGGCUAAUUCCUACUUAUCCUUGCUUGUCUUGAUCCUUGUAGCUCUGCUCCUCACCCCUCAAGGGCUUGCUGAUGAAUCUGAUUCUUACUAUAAGCCACCAGUUUACAAGAAACCACCAGUGUACAAGCCCAAGCCCAAGCCACCCAUUCACAAGCCCAAGCCACCCGUUUACAAGCCCAAGCCACCCGUUUACAAGAAACCCCCUUAUGGUAAGUACCCACCAGUUCAAGACAACGAUCACUUCUAAACCAUGCAACAAGGCAUGUUAAUGUUAACUAUCUACUAAAAUAAAGAGGUUCAGUUAACCUACUACGUACGUUGCUCCUUUUAAUUCCUAAAUCGUAAUUUACAACUUUGUAGGGAUGAGACAUUCUUGGCUAGCUCUGCACUUCAAUCCUUUAUUUGUACAAUGCUAUGGCCAAGUCAAUACCAUGCAUCUUAUCUAUGUGUGUCAUUGAACGAAGUAGUUGCGUGAAAAUGAUGCUUGUACUAUGAAUAAAUAAUAAAAGAACUUUAUCAUUUCAAGAUUGUGCUGUUUAGUUUAUUUGCUGAACCACCGUUACUGACCAUAAAUAAUACACAUGCAGGUCUUGUUUAGGAUAAACUUAAUUAUCCGUAA
rnacentral:lncRNA from 1 species